UAAGUUAAAUAUCAUUCAUACAUCAUAGCGUCUCUUCCAAGUUCUGGGAAGAGAUUAUGGGAAAAACUAUUAGCUGCUCUGUUUUACUAGCUUUAAUAUAUUGUUUUUACUUACUAUUUGCCACUGCUUUAGACACAAUAACACCAUCAAAAUCCAUCAAAGACCCUGAUGUUAUAAUCUCUCAGAAUGGUGUUUUCCGAUUGGGAUUCUUCAGCUUGGCUAACUCCAGCAAUCGUUAUGUAGGGAUUCUCUACAAUCAAAUCCCCGUACAAACUGUUGUGUGGGUAGCAAAUAGAAACAGGCUUCUCGAAGACUCUUCUGGGAUUCUCAACAUAUUAGAUGAUUGCAGCCUUGUUGUUUCCAAUGGAAAAGCUGAGGUUCUUUGGUCAUCACAUGUUAACAAUACAGCUCCUAAUGCAACAACUGCCCAGCUUUUAGACACUGGAAACCUUGUCCUUAGUAAUGGUGAGGAUAGAGCAAGCAGCUUAUGUGAGAGUUUCGAAGAUCCUUCUAAUGCAUUCAUUGAAACUAUGAAGAUCAGUACUGAUGUUAAAAAGGGUCGUAAAGUAGAGCUGAAAUCAUGGAAAAGCAUUGAUGACCCAUCUGAUGGUAACUUUUCUCUUAGCCUUGAACCUUUCAACAGCCCAGAGGGCAUCAUUAGAAAGAAUAACGAGCUCUAUUAUCGGACCGGUCCAUGGAAUGGGAAUACCUUUAUUGGCUUAAUAGAUAAGUACACUGCUUAUCUUGAAGGGUUUGAUGUUGUUGCAGAUAAUCCACAACAACCGUACUAUAUGACUUACGAAAUUUCUAAUGACUCUAUGUUGAUAUACGGUGAAUUAGAUUCUCAAGGAAAAUUCACUGAAUGGAAAUGGGAUGCGGGGAAAGGGAACUGGAUAUUCAAGUACUCUAGUUAUCAAACAAAUUGUGAUGUUUAUGGAUACUGUGGGGCAUUUGGAAUAUGCGAUUCAUCGAGACGACCCAUUUGCAGUUGCUUAAAGGGGUUUAAGCCUAGGAAUAUAGAGGAAUGGAGUAGAGGUAAUUGGAGUAGUGGAUGUUUUAGGACUACCCCUUUGCAGUGCCAAAGAGAUAACAAUAAUGGCAGUGGAGCAGGCCAAGGUGAUGAUGGGUUUUUGGAGAUGAAGAGGAUGAAAGUGCCAGCAUUUCCGCAUCCGUCAUCAAUAAGUAACGGUCAGUGCAAAGACCAAUGCAUGAACAUGAAGAAUUGUUCGUGCAUGGCUUAUGCGUAUGAUGAUGGCAUUGGUUGCAUGUUGUGGAGUGGAGAUUUGAUUGAUGUCCAGAAAUUCUCCGCUAGCGGCGUCGAUCUUUACAUUCGUCUGCCAUUUUCGGAACUGGGUAAAUUUUCUUAGUGUCGAUCAUGUGUUUGAUAAAUUGCGUCAAUAUCUGCCUUUUUGGGUUGAAGUUAUUAACCAAGUUUUUCUAUUUGCAGAUAAAGUGAAAAGUAGUAAGAUCAUUGUUAUUACAACAGUAAUUGCGGGCAUACUCAUUAUUACAAUUUCUACACUCUUCUUAUGGUGUAGGAUAGCUAAAUAUAAAGGUAAUACAUAUGAAAAAUAUUUAUAUGUAUAAAUAAUUUAUUAAGAAAUUACAAAUUAAACUAGAAAUAUAUAUGUAGAAAAUACUGAUAAAUCUGAAACGAUAUAUUGAAACAUGCUGGUAUUGGUACAUAUUGAUAUCGUUACAUAUCAAUGUCAAGACAACAAUAAUGUAUCUAUCAAUGCGGUACUAACUACUUUGAUCCUAUCUCAAGAAGAAAUGAAAAACGAAAGCAGAUCAAACAUCAGCUUUCUAGUGAAAAUAUAGGAGAAAAUUCAAUUGGAGUUAAACUCCAGCAGAUGCCACUAUUCAAUUUCAAAGAACUCGCCGCCGCGAUGGACAAUUUCCGUCACACAAAAAAGCUAGGGCAGGGUGGUUUUGGUCCAGUUUACAAGGUAAUAAAUAAUGGCGAUUUUCAGCAAAUCCAGUGUCAAUGAAAUGGCAUUUUCCUUUUUUCAAUCAAGUCUUGUGAGUUGUAUUUUGUGUAUAGAGAACAUUAGAUGAUGGAAAGGAAAUAGCAGUGAAGAGAUUGUCGAAAGCUUCGGGGCAAGGAUUGGAAGCAAUUACAAGCAAUUUGUCAAAGUACUCUUUCACCAUCUCGGAGUUCUUCAUGUUUUGGAGUUCUAUUUCUCUAAUCAGGUUUAGCAUUUUCACGCUUUUAUUCUUUUCAUCUCCUUCAUACUCCUUCAAGAAAUUCCAUACUUCAAAGGUUGAUUUCUUUGUCAUGAUUCUGAGAAAGAUAUCAGAUGAGGCUGUGUUAUGGAAUAUAAUAAGCAUUAAUUGUAAAAGUUAGUUAAGAUAGUUAGUUGGGUUCAGUUGUUAAAUGGUUAGUCAAUUAGCAGUUAGUUAAUGACUUUUUGUAUUAAAUACUCGGAUUAUUCUUCUUUUGCAAGUGAAAUGAAGUCAGUUUACUUCUCAACUAAGUACGUUAACAUGGUAUCAAGAGCCAUGGAUUCUUUGGUAUAAUUUUUUUCCUGGUUCCUCGUGUUCAUGGCAACAGGCACCGUCCCAAUAGUUAACACGCCUUGGCAUUCACCAAUACUGGUGAAGCAGCCAUCAGCAUGGUCCUGACAGCCUUUAUCUGAUGUCCGUUACUUUUCCAAACAUGAUACUAUUAAACUCAGUAAGCAUAAUUUUCUUUUAUGGAAGCACCAGCUGCUGUUGAUUCUCGAAGGUUAUGGUCUUGAAGGGUUUGUCUUAGGCACUGCUCUUCCUCCUUCCCCUUUUCUACCUCGGACUGAUGGUCAGCAUGUUGAUAAUCCUGUGUUCAUUGUGAAUAAAAAGCAGGAUAAGUUCUUAGCCUAUUGGCUUUUGUCCACAGUCAUAGAUGAAAUCUUAGUGCAUCUAAUAGCGGCCAAGACCAGCUUUGACAUUUGGACAACCAUUGACAAAAAGUUUGGUGCCAAGUCCAAUAUCAAGAUCUCGAGUAUGUGCCAUGCACUAUACUCGAUCAAGAAAACAAAUCUUACUAUCAAAGAUUACCUGUCCAAGGUCAAGAGUCUAAGUGACAGUCUGACUGCAGUUGGUAGCCUAGUUACUGAACAAGAACAGGUCAGCAUUAUCUUGGAGGUCUCUCCAUCGAAUUUGAGUCCAUUCGAGUCUUUCCUUCUACCACUCCCAUGAGUCUUGAACUGGUCACUGAAAUGCUUCUUGAUUGUGAAGCACGACAAAUGACCCUAUUGAUAAAAGUGCCUUUGCAAGUUAACUUGGUGUCUUGGUCACAGCAAGGUAAUCUCGACAACAUGAUAUUUGGUUUAGAUUCCAAUCGUGGUUCUCAUUAAAGACACAGGGGUCAAGGUCGUUGGUGGUCUCGUGGUUAAGCUUGUGGUUCAGGUCGUGGGUAGUCUCGUUUUAAACUACAGUGUCAGCUAUGUGGUAAAAUAGAACACAUAGUGCAAACGCGUUAUCACAGAUUUGAUGAGAAUUUUUCUGGUCUUGGUUCGAGUCCCUCAAUGUCAAUCAAUUAUCAUCAGCUUAAUGAGUAUCUUACAUCCCAUUGCUCAUCGACUCACUGUUGUGGCUCGUUUUCACAGCCUUCCUUUGCAGCUCCUCACUCGUCCUCUCGAGCUCCAUCUUCCUCAUUUCCUACUCAAACCUGGUACCCUGAUUCUGGUGCAACUAACCAUAUCACCCCAACCAUGGCUAGUCUUACCAAUGCUUCUCCUUAUACAAGUACAAGUCAAGUUUUCAUGAGUAAUGGUGAGCCUGUUUCUCUAGCUAAUAUAGACUCAUAUGGCUGGUUCUCGGUUGUUACACCUCAAAAAUAUACUACAUGUUCCUACAGUUUAUAAAAAAUUGAUAUAUGUAGGGCAGUUUGCAAGAGAUAAUUCAGUCUAUUUCGAGUUUCAUCCCUUUCUGUGUUUUGUGAAGGACAUUCGGAUAGGGAGGACUCUACUGGAGGGCCACAUGCAUAAUGGCUCGUAUAGGUUUGACUUCUCUCGAGCUGCUUCACAUAAGCCUGGUCCUACUUAAAGCUCAGGGUCUACUCUUUUGUGCAACAUACAGGCUCCUUCCUCUUUUGAGUUGUGGCAUAACAAACUUGGACAUCCCUGCCAUAAUACACUUGCUCAUGUUCUACGUUUUUGUAAUGUGUCUUUCAAGCAUAGCAUCUUGCAUUUUAUGUGUACACCUUGUAAAUUGGGCAAAUCUCACAAGUUGCCUUUCAGUGCUUCACAAACAGUAUACUCAUUUCCUUUUGAAUUGGUCGCAUCUGAUUUUUGGGGACCAGCACAUGUGCGAUCAAGUGGUUUCUCUUAUUAUGUUUCCUUUGUUGAUAUGUAUAGCAGACAUACUUGGCUAUAUUUUCUUAAAAACAAGUCUGAGGUUUUUCGUUGUUUCUUUUAUUUUCACAAAAAUGGUUCAAGUGUAAUUUGGAAAGCCUAUCAAAAUGCUACAGAUAGACUGGGGGGCGAGUGUCGUUCUUUGUCCACUAAGCUCUCUCAACUUGGUAUUCAACAUUGAAUAACUUGUAUUUAUACCUCAGAACGAAAGGGGGUUGCUUAAAGGAGACAUCGACAUAUCGUUGACAUGGGGCUCACACUACUAGCUCGGGCAUCCAUGCCUUUGGAGUACUGGUCAACUGCCUUUUCUCAUGCAGCUCAUCUGAUCAACAAGGUUACCAACGCCUGUUUUGCAAAAUCAAACUCCUUAUGAGAGGCUAUAUAAAGCUCAACCCGACUAUCCUCAACUAAAAAUGUUUUGGAGUGCGUGUUUUCCUUACCUAAGGCCCUUUCAGCACCAUAAGCUACAAUUUCGAUCUUAGAAGUGUGUUUUUCUCGGGUUUGGUUCUAACCAAAAAUGUUAAAAAUGCCUUACUGAAGAUGGUCGUAUGUUUUUCUCUCGUCAUGUCCUGUUUGAUGAGACACAUUUUCCGUUUCAGGUUGGCUUUCCUUUACCAACAACCUUGGCUUCUGUUAGGUUCCUUCAUCAAAGUUCUUACGUUCCUAUGGUGGCAUCGACUAGUCCUCUUUCUCCUGGUUCCUUACAUUCACUUGAAGCUCUCCCUACCCCAGCUUCAACCCAACCUCCUUCUAUCAUACGAUCUCCUAGUUUAUUACCUUCACAUAGGGAUUCUUCUACGAUGGCUAGUUCACCUACAUCCGGUGCUCCAGAUGCCAUUCCUGCAACGUCACCUUCUUCUAUCAACUGCCAUCCUAUGCGCACUCGAUUGAAGAAUGGCAUUUUUAAACCAAAACUUUUCUCCUCUACCUUGGAAGAAAAUGAGCCAUCUAACAUUACUGAGGCCUUUAAAAGUCUUGCCUGGACUACAGCUGUACAAGCAGGAUAUGAUGCCUUAAUGACCAAUAACAUAUGAGACCUUAUACCUCUACCUGCAGGCCGUUGAGGUGUUGGUUGCAAAUGGAUUUUCAAGGUUAAAAGACAUGUAGAUGGAUCAGUAGCUCGAUACAAAGGACGGUUGAUUGUUAAGGGAUAUCUAGAAGAGGCAAGUAUCGAUUUUUUAGAGACCUUCAGCCCUGUGUUCAAGCCAACAACGAACUGGGUAGUGCUGGUCCUUGCUGUUUCUCUAGGGUAGUCCCUCAGACAAGUAGACAUCAACAACGUGUUUUUGAAUGGGACUUGCAUGAGGAGAUUUAUAUGACACAGCCACCAGGAUUUGAGCAACAACGAAAUGAUGGUCAACAGCUUGUCUGCAGACUACAAAAGGCUCUUUAUGGCCUUAAACAGGCACCUCGAGCAUGGUUUUACAAACUUCGAAAGUUUUUGUUGGCUACUAAGUUUGUAGCCUCUAAAGCUGACAAUUUUCUUUUCAUUCGACGAGCAGCGUAACACCUCUUACCCGUAUUCGUCGCCGGAAUAGGGUACGAGGCAUUACCGGAGUUUACCGAAUUAAUUUUCUAUUAAUACGAGUUAAAUAUUAUUCAUUUACUAAAACAUGUCAUGGCAUCAUUUAAAUGGGCCUCCAGAGCCCAAAACAUACUUCGAGACCAAACCAGAAUUAAAUCGAAACCAUAGGGAAUUUUUCGCAAAAUCCUAAAGUUUUUUUUUUGCUCAAUAUAACCCCUUUAUAAAUAUCUAACCUUCCCUGCAAAUUUUAAAACCGAGACCAAUCCAACCAACCAAUUCAUUUCAAUCAAUUUGAUUCCAAAUUAUACUACUAUUAUAAUUAUACUAUUUAACAUAUUCAUCAUUCUUUACUUUAAUGUAUAUUUCUUAAACAAGCCUUAGUAUGUAUAUAAUCAUCAAACCUUAUGCAUGCCAUAUAAAUCAAAAAGAAAUUUACAAAAGCUACCGGAGAUAAUCUGGAUAGUGUGAUCCUCUGUGUUGAUCCGAUCCUCCGUAUACUUCCACGUCAAUCUACAAGAGACAUUGAUUACACUCAUGUAAGCUUAUAGAAGCUUAGUAAGUUCAUAGGCGUAAAGCAUAAAUCUUACCAAAUAUUUAUACACUUAUACAAUAUACACAAUUAUUAAGUUCACCUAUCAACCACAGCCAUCGGUGAAUUCCCUUGUAUAAACUUACUACCACUUAUCCAUUUCCUUUAAUUCUUUUGGGCUCAUUUGUCACAUAUCAUUCUUUAACCAAAUUAGGGAAUGGUUACGGAAAAUUGAGUACUUCACUUUCACUUUGCCAUAGUAUAACUAUGGUCUUGCGUAUGAUCACUUAUCACCUUUUGAAGUCAUAGUCCUGCCACGGUCUUACACUGAUCACAUUUAUCACUUGUCACUGAUCAGAUAAUUGUAGUUAAAACUACCACUUAUCACUUAUCACUUGUCACUGAUCAGAUAAGUGUAGCUAAAGCUACCACUUAUCACUUGUCGCUUGUCGCUUGUCACUUAUCACUUAUCACUGAUCAGAUAAGUGUAGCUGAGACUACCACUUAUCACUUGUCACUGAUCAGAAGUACUCAAAUCCGACAUUCCGCUCAAUUUAAUCAUUUAUUCGAUUUUCGUGUUGUUAUUUUAUUCUCUAUUUAUCAAUAAAUAUAUUUCAUCAUACAUAUUACAUUAUAUAAUUCAUAAAAUUAACUUAUAAUCAUUAAACUUCAACCAUAUGAACUUACCUGGGUCGAUUUGCCAAAUUUGUGAAAGUUCAGGGACUAAUCAGCUACUUUUUCUUUUCCUCGACUUGCUUCGGGUUCUAGAUCUAUCAUUGUAAAAUCAUUCACUUAUCAGUAUUAACUUCAUCUUCAACCCGCUUAUAAGUAAUAUUAUCUAUAAUUUCAUUAUUUACUUAUGUAUAUUCCAAUGCUGUCCAUCAGUGCCAUAGUCACUAAAUUAUUUUUAUCUUUAGCUACAGAACUCCAAAUUAGGAUCCACUAAUUUUAUCUGAAAUUAGACUCAUAUAUCUUCUUAUCAUAAAAUUUUUAGAAUUUUUUGUUUAGCCAAUAAGUACAGUUUAUUCUUUAAAUUCACCCCUAUUCUUCUGUCUGAUAAUUCCGACCCUUCUUCACUAAAAAUUAAUUAUCUCUUCGUACAGAAUUCAGAUGAUGUACAUGUUUGUUUCUAUUUAAAAUAGACCAUUAAGGAUUUUAAAAAUAUAAAUUUAAACCCCUAAUUAUUUUUCUCCAAUUUUUGAUGAUUUUCCAAAGUCAGAACAGGGGAACCCGAAAUCAUUCUGACAUUGUCUCACAAAAUCUAUUAUAUCUCGUGAUCUACAAUUCUGUUGCUUACACCGUUUCUUUUAUGAGAAACUAGACUCAAUAAGCUUUAAUUUCAUAUUUCUUUAAUCUUCUAAUUCGAUUUCUACAAUUUAUGGUGAUUUUUCAAAGUUAGACUACUGCUGCUGUCCAAAACUGUUUUAGUGCAAAUGUUGAUUUCGAUUUUUGCCCCAAAUUUCACAGUUCAUACAAUUCAGUCCUUGCUCAAUUAAUCCCUCAAUGAAGCUAAUUUUUCUCAAUUAAUGCUUUACCUAGACAUUAUAAGUUAUUUUACAAUUAUUUAAAUUCAUAAUUUCUACAUAAAAACCUAACUUCAAACUCUUUCACCAUUAGGUCCCAAAACAUUCACUUUCUAUUCAAUUCUUUCAAUAAAAUCAGCAUAUAAACAAUUUAAACUCUAAUUACAUGCUAAAUCAUCAUAUACUUCCAACACAUAUUCAUAAAACUUCCAAUUUCUUUCAUAGAAUCAAAAACUAAUGAAUUCAACAAGUGGACCUAGUUGUAAAAGUCAUAAAAACACAAAAAUUUCAAGAAAUAAUCAAGGAUUGAACUUACUUGCAGUAAAAAUAUGAAAAAUCAGCUUAAUAAAACCCUUCUAUGGUGUUUUUGCUGAUGAGAAUGUUGAAAAAUAAUGAGAAUUCUAGAUAAUUCCACUUUAGUCCUAGUUUAUUAAGUAAAUUUUGCAAUAUUCCAAUUUUUCCCUUAAUUCAUCAAUUUUCCUACUGAUUUCAUGCACCUUACCGUCCAGCCCAAAUAUACCUUGGGUCUAUUUGCCUUUUAAACCCUCUUUCUUUUAUCAUUUAAGCUAUUUAAUCAUUUCCUAUAAUUUUACAUUUGUUACAAUUUAAUCCUUUUUAUUCAAUUAACUAUCGAAACUUUAAAAUUUCUUAACGAAACUUUAAUACUAACUUAUUAACACUCCAUAAAUAUUUAUAAAAAUAUUUAUGGCUCGUUUUAAAAUUUUCAAACUCUCGAUAUCUCAUUUCCGAUUUUAAUUUUUAAAAUUUUUAUUUCUAGUACACUAGUCGCUAUUUCAAAAAUUUUCCUAACUUCACAUUUAACUUAUAUUCACUAAAUUAUUAAUAUUUUCUACUCAUUUGUCAGAUUUAGUGAUCUCGAAUCACUGUUCCGACACCACUGAAAAUUUAGGCUAUUACAAGCAGGAUCCCAACUACUCUAUGUUUUAGUAUAUGUUGAUGACAUAAUAAUCACUGGCAUUGACUCUUUUGGCAUUGAUCAGUUUGUCAAACACCUUGAUGUUCACUUUUCUUUCAAAGACUUGGGCCAGUUGAGCUAUUUUCUUGGAAUUGAAGUAACUCAUACUCCGAAUGGUGUUUUCUUGAGUCAGAAGAAGUACAUCUUGGACUUACUUCAACGAGCUCCCAUGGAUAGGUCGAAAGGUUCUCCUACCCCAAUAAUGACCACUUGUCAAUUGCAGCUCACGAAGGAAGCCUGAUUGAGGAUGAACGCUUAUUCAGAAGUAUUGUGGGUGCCUUACAAUAUGUGGUAAUAACAAGGCCAGACAUUGCCUUUUCUAUGAACAAGGCUUGUCAGUUUAUGCACAAACCCUUGGUUACACAUUUCAAAGCUAUCAAACGGAUUCUAAGGUACUUGCAAGGGACACUAGAUUAUGGGUUACAGUUCACCCGAACCUCAAAGUUCCUUUUUGAAGGCUAUUUCGAUGUAAGUUGGGGAUCAGACACUAAUGAUCGUCGGUCAAACUCAGGGUCUUGUGUCUUUCUUGGAGAAAAUCCAAUUUCAUGGAGCUCCAAAUUCAAACACGUUGAAUUAGACUUAUUAUUUGUCAGAGAAAAGGUUGCAAAUGGGUCUUUUUAAGUAGGUCAUGUAUUUGGACAAGCUUAGAUUGCUGAUAUCUUGACCAAGCCCUUAUCAAUAGGGUUGUUCGACAAAUUUAGAAGAAGGCUUAGAGUUGUUGCCAUAGGAGGUGAUGACAUGAAGAAGCAGGAGAAGUCGAUAAGCAUGGGGCAUGUUAUGGAAUAUAAUAAGUAUUAAUUGUAAAAGUUAGUUAAGAUAGUUAGUUAGGUUCAGUUGUUAAAUGGUUAGUCAGUUAGCUGUUAGUUAAUGACUUUCUGUAUUAAAUACUCAGAUUAUUCUUCUUUUGUAAGUGAAAUGAAGUCUGUUUACUUCUCAACUAAGUACGUUAACAGGCUGCAACAAAUAAUGUAGCUCUUUGCCUCUGAUUUUCUUGAUUCUCUCGUUGUGAUUCUUGAUUUGCGCUAUAGCCGGAUUGACAGGUAAUGAAGGAACUUUGUAGUCCUUCUCCACGACUUUCCAGAAAUCAUUUUCCUCUAGAUGAGUCUCCAUCCUUACUGCCCAAACAUGGUAACCUUUACCAUUGAAAACAUGUGGUGCAAGUGCACUGAAAGAGAUUUCUAAAUCUAUAGAAGAAGAAAGAGACAAAACAUUUCCCUUAAUUACAGGUCCCUCAAGAAAAAAGCUAUGAUACCUAUUUAUUGGAGUUUUUGAUGAAAAAUUUAUUGUAAAAAGAAAACAACAAAAGCAAAAGGAAAAUAUAAAUAAUUUUUAUGGAAAGUGUUUUCAUUUAUUAAACUGAAAACCAGUGUUUAUAUAGAAGAACAACAACUAUUGACUAAAACUAGACUAUUAAAAUAUUCAUAAUCUCUAAAAAUCAGCAACAAAUAAAAAAUUGUUAAAAUUAAUUAGAUUAUUUUGUUAUAGUAAGUGAAGUAAAUCUUCAACAUCAUUAUUGGUGCUUCAUUUGCUCAUUUUAUGAGUGGGGUAUGAAUUUCAGAGGGCAUGCAAAAAGAAAAGGAAGAAGAAAGAAAGAAAAUUACAAAAAAAAAAGAAGAAAAAGGAAAGGUUAUGACACCAUGCAUUUGGGCUUUCAAAUCUUUACAAACAUAAGAGUAGUAGUUCUAACUAUCUUUCAUGAGGGUAACUUUUCUACGAAAAUAUCCAGGCAUGAGGUGAUAAAUGACUUUCUUUCACUGUCCCAUCACUUUAAGAAAUUAUCAUUAGUUAUCUUAUUUUGAGCUUCAUCGAAUUUUCUUACGAAAAAACUCAGUCCAUAGUUAGAUCAACUUGUAAAUAGAUCGAACACCAAUUUUAUAGUGAAAAUAUAGGAGAAAAUUCAAUCGAAGUUAAACUCCAACAGUUGCCACUAUCUAGUUUCAUAGAACUCGCCACCACGAUAAACAACUUCCAUCACGCAAAAAGCUAAGGCAAGGUGGCUUUUGUCCAGUUUACAGGGUAAUAAACAAUGGUGGUGAUUUCCAGAAAAUACAUGAUCGAUGAAAUGACAUUUUCUUUCUACCAAGUCUUAUGAACCAAAUUUUGUGUGCUGGGAACAUUAGAUGAUGAAAAGGAAAGAGCAUUUAAGAGAUUGUCAAAAGGUUUGGGGUAAGGGUUGGAAGGAUUUAUGAAUAAAGUGGUGAUUUCAAAGCUCCAACAUCCAAAUCUGGCUAGAUUAUUUGGGUGUUGUGUUGACGGAGAAGAGAAGAUGCUGAUCUAUGAGUACAUGCCUAACAAAAGUUUGGACGCGUUUCUCUUUGGUUAGUAACUUAUUCUAAUCUUUUUUAUUAGUGAUUUUUUGGUACUCGAUCGUUAUAUUGGACCUCAAUUAAAUUUAGAGUUCAAUUAAGUUAAACUCUACACGAGAGGUAAAGUUCUUCGAGAAUUAUUUUUUUCAUCCACAAUACUUGAAUUUAUGUUGUUGUUUAAAGAGAAUUAAGCUUAUAGGUUCAUACAGACAACAGACCGAGUUCGAUUCAGGGGAAUACAUUUCCCUACGGCUAUACGGAGAUGAAAACCUCACGAAGACGCAGGUACAGAUGUAUCCCGAAAGCGAUCCACUAUCCUAUACGGAGGUGAAGACCUCACGAAGGAAUAGUUUCUUACUUCCACUUAAGAGGGUGAAGUUGACCGGUAAUGCAAUACGAUAUGCAAAGAUACAUCAAAUAUUUAAACUACUUAAAGCAUCAUAUUAUGAAGAAAGCCACGAAAGUAACAGACAACAGGUAAUGCAAAAAACCAAUUUUUAAUUUUUGACGAAAGACAAUAAAUAAUCAAUUUAAGGCUCGACUCUCGAUUUCCCCAGUGGAGUCGCCAAGGUGUCGAAACCAUUUUUUUGAAAACGGGAAUCGACUUGGUUUGAAAGCGAAAAUUAAAACGGGAGUCGCCACCGAUCUUUAUUAGGUGUGAUCGGAUCACCUUUGUUUUAAUAAAACAAUUUUUAGUUUACUAAAACGGUAUUUUUAAUCUACGAAACUCGAGAGAAUGAGUUCGGAAGGAUUAGCACCCCCGACACGCCCAAAAAUUGGUACCGAAUUGAUUAGUUAGUGUCUUAAUGUCGAAAAUUAAAAAUCGGGAAUGGGUUUGAAAUACGAUCUUUUCUAUUAAUAAAUGAUUUUAAAAUUCUCGAAUUAGCUUAAAUCGAUUGUUUAAAGAUUUCCUUAUCUCGAGAUAUCGGAGUAUCACAUCCCGUAAGUUACGACACAAUACCAUGAAUUCUCGAGCACAAGGUCGUCUUUCAAUUUAAAUGAGAAUUUCAUGUGUUUUGAAACUCGAAAAGGAUAUUUAGCUAUUUAGAACCAACGAGAGAAUUGAAACCCUGUAAGUUAGGGCACAAUUCUUCGAUGUUCCAAAAUGCGAAACAUUGCCUUAUUUUGAAAUUUUUAUAUAUAUUUUUUAAUAGUAGCGAAUUUGAUAUUUAAACGACGUGUUAUUCGUUCGGAUUCACAUAAAACAAUUUAUUGGAUGAAUAUAACGAGGCUUGAUUUAUGGGGUGAUGAUAUGAAAUGAAGGUGUAAUGCGACAUAGAAUGAUGAAUACAAAUAAACGAAUCAUGCAAUGGCAGUAAUCGCACUAACAUUAAUAAUCAAAGAUAAAUGAAUUAAAUAAUCAAAAAAGAUAAUAAAUAGCAUAAAGUUAAUUAAAAUGGAUAAGACGUAAAAAGAAACGAAACUAAAAGGAUGAUAAAUGAGUUUUAAAUAAAUAAAUAAAUAAUAUGCAAAAAGAAUUUUUAAAGAAAGAUCAACCAUAUACAAAAUAAUUUUAAAAGAUUAUAAUAAGGUUAAAGUAGAAGAAUCUUGAAGUAAAUAAUAAUAAAACAUUCCAAAAUAAAUAAAUAGGGUUUUAAAAUAAAGUAUAUAUAUAACGACUUAAAACAAGUAAUGAAAACUGUUGCGGAAAGGAUCGAUUCGUGAACUCCGAUAUGACUACAAGUAAAUUGACCGAAACGAAAAAUAAAGUGAACACAAGGAUUUACGUGGUUCGGCUUUAAUGCCUACGUCCACGGGCAGAGGCGAAAAGAAAUUUCACUAUAACAAGAUGAAGAUUACAAGUGUUUUACACUCAAGACACAACCCGAGAACCUCACAACUCUCAACCCCUAUAGAAAACCCGAAAGCUAAAAUCCUAGCUUUCAAAGAACAAGCUUUGCUCUCUCUUGGUUUGGGAUGAUUAAUAUGGCUAAUGAACCUCUCUAUUUAUAAGAGAGUUCAAGGACAUAAUUGUCCAAAACUUUGGCAAAGAUUUGUGGUUGAAAAUGGACACCAACAACCAUCCACUAAUCCACUACCACCAACAACCCACUACCAACAACAACAAUCCACUACCAAUUUUAAGCCAUUUCUUAACAAAUCUCCACCUUGGCUUGAAAUUUACCAAGCUGAACAUCAUAGUGAAUUCCUCGAACUGGAUCACCUCUUCCAAACGCCUCUCUGGCGCUAAUCAAUCCCGAAUACCUAUCAAGUCCAAGCAAUGCUUGAACUUAUAUGCAGGGAUCACCUUAGUUAACAUAUCUGCAGGAUUCUUCUCGGUAGCAACCUUGCUGAUAACAAUGUCACCUUGCGUAACAUGUUCCCGAACAAAAUGAUAUCUGACAUCAAUGUGUUUGGUCCGUUCAUGAAACAUCUGAUUUUUAGUCAGAUGUAUGGCACUCUGGCUAUCGCAAAAUACAACAGUGAAAUCCUGUUGUAAACCCAAACUGCUUACUAGACCUUUCAUCCACAAUGCUUCUUUCACUGCUUCUGCUAACGCCAUAUAUUCCGCCUCAGUCGUAGAUAAGGCUACGGUAGACUGUAACACAGCUUUCCAACUAAUGGCUCCUCCAGAAUAAGUGAAAACAUAACCCGUCAGAGAUCUUCUUUUGUCCAGAUCUCCAGCAUAAUCAGAGUCCACAUAGCCCGUGACACUGCUAGUGCAGUCACUCUGAUCAUAUACCAAGCAUAAAUCUGCAGAACCUCUCAAGUACCUGAGAAUCCAUUUCACGGCCUGCCAGUGUUCCUUGCCAGGACAACUCAUGUAUCUGCUGACCACACUAACUGCAUGUGAAAUGUCUGGACGAGUGCAAACCAUUGCAUACAUCACGCUUCCAACUGCACUCGAGUAUGGAAUGUGAGACAUUUGCUGCUUUUCUUCAUCAGAUUGUGGUGACAACUCUGCAGAGAGUUUGAAAUGUGGUGCCAACGGAGUACUCACAGUUUUCGCUUUAUCCAUGCCGAAGCGUUGAAGAACCUUUUCAAUGUAGUUCUUCUGCGACACACGAAGCUUGCCCGCCUUGCGAUCUCUGUGAAUAUCCAUGCCCAAAAUUUUCUUGGCAGCACCCAGAUCCUUCAUCUCGAACUCACCACUCAACUGCGACUUUAACUUGUUGAUUUCCGACAUGUUUUUGGAAGCAAUUAACAUGUCAUCAACAUACAGCAACAAAUAAAUGUGCGAACCAUCUGAGAGCUUCCGAUGAUAGACACAAGCAUCAUAGUCACAUCUUGUGUAACCAUGCUGAAUCAUGAAGCUAUCAAACCGCUUGUACCACUGCCUUGGGGAUUGUUUCAAUCCAUAUAAAGACUUCUUUAAUAGACAGACAUGGUCUUCUUUACCAGGAACUGUAAAACCCUCUGGUUGACGCAUGUAGAUUGUUUCCUCGAGCUCACCAUGCAAGAACGCCGUUUUUACGUCAAGCUGCUCAAGUUCUAGAUCAGACUUGGCCACCAUGGCAAGUAAUACACGAAUGGAAGAAUGCUUUACGACUGGGGAGAAAACUUCAUUGUAGUCAAUCCCCUCUUUCUGAGUGAAGCCUUUAGCAACCAAUCGUGCCUUGAAUCUAGUUGCUUCAACCCCUAGGAUGCCUUCCUUUUUCUUGAAGACCCAUUUGCAACCAACUAUCUUCUGGUUACUUGGCGGCUUAACCAACUCCCAAGUAUGGUUCUUGUGAAGAGAUUCUAUCUCCUCACUCAUAGCAAUUGCCCACUGUGCCGACUCAUCACACGUGACAGCCUCAUUAUAACUGGAAGGUUCUAUACCAAUGGACUCCGCCACACUGAGCGCGAAAGACACCAGAUUAGCGUAACGCGGAUUUGGUUUGAUUUGUCUCUUCGUUCUUCCAGUGGCAAUGCUAUAUGGUUUUUCUUGAGGUGACUCAUCUUCAUCGGAAUCUUGCACCUCAACUUGAUCAUCCUGGACUGAAGUACCUUCCGUAGGAAUUGGAGCGUCCACCUGACACUCCACCUGCUUCUCAACACCGUGAUCUCCCAUUCUAUCUGACUCCUCCUUUUCCCGGGAAUUUGUGGUGGAUCGAAGCAUGGAUGACUCAUCAAAAGUCACAUCUCUGCUGAUGAUGAACUUGGACGAAACCGGAUCAGGACACCACAACCUGUAUCCUUUCACCCCUUGGCCGUAUCCAAGAAAUAUGCAUUUCUUCGCCCUCGGUUUGAGUUUUCCCUCAUUUACAUGAGCAUACGCAGGGCAGCCAAACACUCUUAAACCAGAGUAAUCAGCAGGAGAACCAGACCAUACUUCCUCAGGAGUCUUCAGCUCAAUAGCUGUUGACGGAGAUCUGUUAACCAAAUAACAAGCAGUAUUAACAGCUUCAGCCCAAAAUUCUUCACCGAGCCCAGCAUUUGAUCGCAUGCAACGAGCUCGCUCCAAGAGAGUUCUAUUCAUGCGUUCUGCAACUCCAUUUUGUUGUGGUGUUCGACGAACAGUGCGGUGUCUCACUAUUCCUUCAUUUUUGCAGAACUCAUUGAAUUCACCUGAGCAAAACUCCAAGCCAUUAUCCGUCCGGAAUCGCUUGAUCUUCUUUCCUGUUUGAUUUUCGAUCAAAGCUUUAAAUUGCUUGAAGUUGAUGAGAACCUCAUACUUGCUCUUCAGAAAAUACACCCAAACCUUUCUCGAGUAAUCAUCGAUAAAGGUAAGCAGAUAUCUGUAACCACCUUUAGAAAUUGUCGGAGAAGGCCCCCAAAGGUCAGAAUGGAAGUAAUCCACUGUGCCUUUUGUCUUGUGAAUCCCAGUGCUGAACUUUACCCGAGUCUGCUUACCGAAGACGCAGUGCUCACAGAAAUUCAACUUUCCUGUACACUGCCCAGACAAUAAUCCUCGUUUGCUUAGCACCGAUAAGCCUCUCUCGCUCAUAUGCCCGAGCCGCAUAUGCCAUAACUUCGUGGUGUCAGAAUCUAGAUCAUCUGAUGAUGACACUCCCGCAACACCUGUAACCGAGGAACCAUCGAGGAAGUAAAGGCCCCGCUCCAAAUUACCACGUAUCACAGUCAAAGCACCCGAGAAUACCUUGAGAACUCCACCUUCAGCAGAGUACCGAAAGCCUUUCUUGUCCAACGUACUCAAAGAGAUCAAAUUUUUCUUCAUUUCUGGAAUGUGCCGAACAUCAGUUAGAGUUCUAACAAUACCGUCAAACAUCUUUAUACGAACUGUGCCAAUCCCCAUGACUUGACAUGCGUGGUCAUUUCCCAUUAGUACUGAACCAGAAUGCUUCUCGUAUGUUGAGAAUGCAUCUUUCGAAGUACUUAUAUGAAAUGUAGCUCCCGUAUCAAGAAUCCAUCUCCCACCAGCGUAAGAGUCGGAUACUGCAAGAACGAUCUCGGCAUCACUUGAAGAAUCUGCAUCAGCUACAUUCGCACGAUCAUUUUGUUGCUCCUGUGAUUCUGAUUUCUCCUUCCUUUUCGGACAAUCUACCUUCAUGUGCCCGUACUUCUUACAGUAGUAGCACUGUAUUCUCUUCUUGGACUGCGAUCUAGGAUGGCUUUUACUUGAACUUCCACCCUUUGCCUUGGAUCUUCCUCGAGCAACCAAGCCUUCGCCUUCAUUGUUUUCGACCACCUUACCAGUGAUUUUCUUCCUCAACUCACUGGAACUUAAGGCAUUUUUCACCUCCUCUAGAGUCAGGUCAUCACGACCGUACAUCAUUGUAUCAACAAAAUUCUCAUACGAGGGAGGCAAAGAACACAAAACAAUUAUUGCUUGGUCCUCAUCAUCGAUUUUGUUAUCGAUAUUAUUCAAAUCCAUGAUAAUGGAAUUGAAUUUAUCCAGGUGCUGGGAAACAGGUGUACCUUCCUCCAUCUUCAGGGCAUAGAGUCUUUGCUUGAGGUAGAGCCGGUUCGUCAAUGACUUCGUCAUGUACUUGCUCUCUAACCGGAGCCACAAACCGGACGCGGUUUUCUCAUCCGCUACUUCUCGUAGCACUUCAUCUCCUAGACAUAGCAGAAUAGCACUAUGUGCUCUUUCUAGCAUGUCAUCCUUUUGCUCUUCCGAAAGCGUGCUUGGUAAUUUAUCUUUACCAGACAAUGCUUUUAGCAAUCCUUGUUGAACCAGCACUGCCCGCAUCUUGAUGCGCCAUAAACUGAAACUAUUUUUCCCGGUAAAUUUCUCGACAUCAUACUUAGUCGAUGAAACACUUGUAGCCAUAAUUUGGAACCUUUGAAUGAAUGAUAAUAUUUUCUUCCUGAUGUGAAAGAUCAGACAAAGCUGCAGUCACAGGGCAAUUCAGAAAAUAUUAUCACUCCUUCAACUACGCUCUGAUACCAAUUUGUUGCGGAAAGGAUCGAUUCGUGAACUCCGAUAUGACUACAAGUAAAUUGACCGAAACGAAAAAUAAAGUGAACACAAGGAUUUACGUGGUUCGGCUUUAAUGCCUACGUCCACGGGCAGAGGCGAAAAGAAAUUUCACUAUAACAAGAUGAAGAUUACAAGUGUUUUACACUCAAGACACAACCCGAGAACCUCACAACUCUCAACCCCUAUAGAAAACCCGAAAGCUAAAAUCCUAGCUUUCAAAGAACAAGCUUUGCUCUCUCUUGGUUUGGGAUGAUUAAUAUGGCUAAUGAACCUCUCUAUUUAUAAGAGAGUUCAAGGACAUAAUUGUCCAAAACUUUGGCAAAGAUUUGUGGUUGAAAAUGGACACCAACAACCAUCCACUAAUCCACUACCACCAACAACCCACUACCAACAACAACAAUCCACUACCAAUUUUAAGCCAUUUCUUAACAAAAACAAUAAUUCAUAAAAGCAAGUUAAAAAUAGUUUAUAAAGCAAAUUUAGAGUGAAUAAUAUAAAAUAACUUAAGAUAGUUGAUAUAUGAUUCCAAUUUAAAAUAGAAUAAAAUUAAGUAAAUAGUUUUUUUUUAAAAAAAAAAAAUUAAAACAACAUAUGAAAACUUAAAAUAAAUGAUAUGUGGAUAAAGAGCUUUAAAAUAAAUAAUCUAUAAAUCCGGUCUUAACAAAAGUAAUAGAAAAAGAGUUUCGAAUAAAUAAAAUAUAUGGAGAAUAAGGAUAAAUGAUGCUUAAGUGGUUUAAAAUAAAUAAGUGUAUAAGAAUGAUUCGAAACGAAUAAAUAAAUAAGAAUCUCAAAUAAAUAUUAUAGACAAACUUGAAGUAAAUAAUAAUAAAACAGUUUGAAAUAAACUAUAACUACAUAAUAUAUAUAAAUUUAAAAUAUAUGAUAUGUAAAACUUUAAAAUAACUGGUAUAUAUAUAUAUAUAUAUAUAAGAUAAUUUGAAGUAAUAUAUAAUAAAACCGUUUAAAGUAGCUAAUUAAGAAACUAUACUCAUAACCUAAAAUAAUAUACAAUAACAAUUUGUAAAGAAUACCAUAAAUCAGUUUUAAAUAAAUGGUUCAUAUAAAAGAUCUAAUUGUUUGACAGAAUACAUGUUUUUCUAAAGAAUAAGCAAGCAAAAUAUGCCAAAUAGUUUGACAUUAGAAGGUUUAUGACCAAAUUUAAAACAAAAUUAAAUUAAAGGGACAAAUUUAAAAGAGAAAGGACCCGAAUAGAAUGCAUGCAAAGAAAGAGGGACUUAUAAGGAGAAUAUCCCCGCCCUUAUACGCUUUAUAUCAUGCAGGACCAAAAUGCGACUAGUGUAAAAUCCAUGGGGCCAAAUUAAAGCGCAAUGUUGAAAGCGGGCAGUAAAACUGAAGGACCCAUAGUGCAAAUGCCCCACUUUUGCCUUGAAAACAACUCUGCCGUUCCAUGUUUUUUAUUAAGGCCAAUUUUCAUCUUUUUUUUUUUUUUUUUUUAGAAAGAAACAGAGAGUUCUUUUAACUCUCUUCCUCUCCCUUUUCCUUUGGCCAAAGGGCCACGACCGUCCGUCGCACCACCGCACCACAAAUCCGGUGACCGGUGAUGCUCAAGAAGGGACCUUUAGCCCCCUUUCGAACAGAUCCGAGGAUGAACCCCUCCAUGCCCGCGAAAAUCGAAAGAAAAAAGGCCCACUUUCACUCCUUUCAUGCCCGAUUCCGACCGUGGAAAGAAACUUCGGACGACGGGCCACGAGGUAACUCAGGUGAGCCUUUCCCUUUUCUUUUAUUCUUUAUGCCCACUUUUGUUUAAUAGAUUUGUAAGUAUAGAUAAAAAAGAAAUUGAAAAGGAAUUCAAACGAAAAAAAAAAAAACAGAGAAGAUAAACUCGAAUAUCAACCUUUUGUAUAUAUUUUUUGAUUGCUGGUGUUCGUUCUUUUUUUCCCUUUUUCUUUUUACAAAAUUUCUCCCUUCGGUUUUAUAACCGAUUAUAAUAACAAUAAAAAAAAUGCUCCCAUUCCUCUGUUGCGGCUGCUGUUUUUGUUGUUUGUGUUUGCAGGGUAUGGGUGUGUCAGACGCAUGGAGGGAGCAUAUGCCGGUGGUGGUGCGCGAGGCGGCCAUUGGUUGGCCGAGUGUGCUGCUGAGGCUUGAGGGCUGCUGCUGUUUUCUCUUCUCUGCAGGGGGCUCGGAUUUGGGCUUUAGGGUUUGUAUUUAAUUAGGUUUGGUCUUUUAGUUUGGGCCGGGCAUAAUUGGGCUUGUACACAGUUCAUAUAUAUUAGGUCUUUAAUAUAAUUUUUUUAAAAAUGUUAGGCAAGGAAAAGCACUAACUUAUGCCAUAUAAGUAUAUAUUGUAAUUGGUAAGAGACUUUUUUUUUCCCUUAACAAGACUCGGUCAUUGUUAAAAGAAUAAUCCAGAAAAUAAUUUUCAAAAAAAAUAUCAUGUGCUUCACUAGUCAAAGUUAUUCAAAUGAAAGAGUCUAAAUUCAUCGGUUUCACAACAGCUACCUAUACUAAUCAAAGUUAUUUAAAUGACGUCUUGGUCUGUAACUUCUGGAAGUUCAAACCUCAAUAAAUUUUAUGAAUAAAUUUUUUUACCAAAUUAAUUAUGGGAGUUUAAAAUUAUCUAGUGAUUCAAUUUUUAGGUUAUUUUCAUUUUGUUCAAUCAAAAUGAAAUUUUUACAACUUUGUUAUUCAAUUUUUAGGAUAGUUUAUUUUAGUCACCAAACCAUUAAAUUUUUAACGAUAAUUAAUUGUACAUAUAACAUUAUGUUUAUAUUUUUAUUUUGGUCACUCAAAUUUUAAAUUAUUUUCAUUUUAAUCAUCUAAAAAAUAUAUUUUUGAAUAUUGAUCGGGAUAAAAAUUAUUAAGAAUUAAAGUGAAAAAGUAGUAGAAACUAAAAUAAUGUUUUAAAAAUUUUAAAUGACUUAUUUAAUUAAUUUUAAUAUUUAAGAAUAUAAAAUUUCAAUAAGAGGUAAAUUAAUAUAAUUUGAUAAUUUUUAAAGUAUUACUUUUUCACUUUAAUGUUUAAUGUGAUGCAAUAAAAAAAAUAAAGAGGUGCUUAGUGCUCCAAGAAAAUUCAAAACUUGAUGUAAACAUUUGAAGAAAAUUGAGUUGAGUUCAUCUCGUGUAAAUCCUGAAAGAUUCCAAAUAUCAUUCAUAAAUCAUAGCGUCACUUCCAAGUUCUGGGUAGAGAUUAUGGGAAAAACUAUUAGCUGCUCUGUUUUACUAUCUUUAAUGUCUUGCUUUUACUUGCUAUUUGCCACUGCUUUAGACACCAUAACACCAUCAAAAUCCAUCAAAGACCCUGAAUUUAUAAUCUCCCGGAAUGGUACUUUCCGAUUGGGAUUCUUCAGCUUGGCUAACUCCAGCAAUCGUUAUGUGGGGAUAUUGUACCAUCAAAUCCCCGUACAAACUGUUGUAUGAGUGGCAAAUAGAAACAGGCCUCUCAAAGACUCUUCUGGGAUUCUCAACAUAUCAGAUGAUGGCAACCUUGUUGUUUUGAAUGGCAAAACUGAGACUCUCUGGUCAUCAAAUGUUACCAAUACAGCUCCUAAUGCAACAACUGCCCAGCUUUCAGACUUAGGAAACCUCGUCCUCAGUAAUGGUGACUUAGGAAACAUCCUUGUAAUGUAUUCCUUCAAACUAUGAAGAUUGGCGUUGAUAUAAAAAUGGGUAGUAAAGUGGAGCUGAAAUCAUGGAAAAGCCAUGAUCCAUCUGAUGGUUACUUUUCUUUUGGUAUUAAACCCUUCAAUAUCCCAGAGUUUGUCAUUUGGAACAAUAACCAGCUCUAUUUUUGUAGUGGUCCAUGGAAUGGAAAUAUGUUUAUGGGCUUAAUACUUCCGACCGUCCGCUUUCUCUUGGUUUUCUGUUGUUCCAGAUAAUCAACAACAAACGUUUUAUAUAGGUUAUGAAGAUUCUAAUCACUCUAUGUUGACAUACUGUGAAUUAGAUUCUCAAGGUAAACUCAAUGAACGGAGAUGGGAUGCGGGGAAAGGGAACUGGAUAAAGAGUUACUCUAUUUAUCAUACAGAUUGUGAUGUUUUAUGGGAAGUGUGGGGAAUUUGGGAUAUGCAAUUCAACGAAACGACCCAUUUGCAGUUGCUUAAAGGGGUCUAAGCCUAGGAAUGCAGAGGAAUGGAGUAGAGGUAAUUGGAGUAGCGGGUGUUUUAGGACUACCCCUUUGCAGUGCCAAAGGGAUAACAACAAUGGGAGUGGAGCAGGCCAAGGUGAUGAUAGGUUUUUGGAGAUGAAGAUGAUAAAAGUGCCCGCAUUUCCAGACCGGUCAUCAAUAGUUAACGGCCAAUGCAAAGAUCAAUGCUUGAAGAAUUGUUCGUGCGUGGCUUAUACGUAUGAUUCCGGCAUUGGUUGCAUGAUGUGGAGUGGAGAUUUGAUUGAUGUCCAGGAAUCCAGUCGCGGAGUCGAUCUUUACAUCCGUCUGCCAGCUUCGGAACUGAUUAAAUUUUCUUAGUGUCGACCAUGUGUUUGAUAAAUUGCGUUAAUAUCUGCUUUUUGAGUGUUGAAGUUAUUAACCAAGUUUUUCUAUUUGCAGAUAAAGGGAAAAGUAGUAAGGUCAUUGUCAUUACAACAGUAAUUGCAGGCAUAGUAGUUAUCACAAUUUCUGCACUCUUCUUACGGUGUAGGAUGCUUAAACAUAAAGGUAAUAUAUGAAAAAUAUUUAAACAUAUAUAUAAUUUAUUAAAAUAUAAAAAAUUAGAAUAUAAAAUUAUAUGUGAAAAAUAUUUAAAAAUAUCAAUAAAUUUGAAAUGUAUAUUGAAACAUGCUGGUAUUAGUACAUACUAAUAUCGUUAUAUACUAUUGUCAAGACAACAACAAUAUGUCCACCGAUAUGAUAUUAACUACUUUGUUUCUAUAUCAAGAAGAAAUAAAAAGCAAAAACACAUCAAACACCAAUUUUGUGGUGAAAAUAUAGGAGAAAAUUCAAUUGGAGUUAAACUCCAGUAGUUGCCAGUAUUCAAUUUUGAAGAACUUGGUGUUGGGGAUUUUUGGAGGAGCAGAGGAAGAAAUACAGGACAGAACAAGGCAGUAUUUUUACUUGCUCACAAAUGUGCAGUAAGGGAGCUAUGGCUUCAGCUCAUUUUGCUCAUUCAUUCAACUAGAAAAACAAUACAUUUAUAGCUAAAAAAUAUCACCAAAUACUACCUAUUACCACUAAGUAGCCUAGUAAAUUGAUAAACAUAACUUGCACACAUGGUAAAACUGAUUUAUCAAUCUUUCAGCACUUAAUUACAUAAAAAAUGUUACCAACUUAGUUCAAAUCAAACUAAGCAACAAAACAUUAGCUGAAAGUAACAAAACAACAGCAUAUGCUCCAGCUGCAACAUGCAAGGCUGGGGCAGCUUCCCCUACUUCUUGGUCUGCAUGGAAGCCAACUUCAACACUCCUCCUUGGCUUUCAUGUUGCAAAUACCAAUCAUUCAUCAAGUUUUUUUUUAACUUGGCAGUCCUUAGAUGCUUUGUUUCAAGCUGAACUUGCUCAAGCAAUACAUUUUCAACCUUGACCUCAUUUUCAACCAAAUCUUGACUCACACAAUUUGACCAUACCAGUCUUUUGUGGCAAAGAUUUGUUCAUCAAAUGGAGUAUUCUCCUCCUUCACAGCCUUGGUUGGUAUUACCAUUCAAACACAUCCUGCCUUGUUUUCCCUUGCUAAUUACAGUCCUGUUUUUUCUUGCUUCCACAUGUUGCUGAGGUCGCACCUUUGACAGAUUCGCAUCUUUGCAUACUGUCUUCAGCAGGUGUCUUCAACAGGCUCGCAACUAUUGGUGAGCUCGCACUUUUGAUAAGCUCACAGCUCUCAUUUCUCGCUAAGCUUGCAGCUUGCACAUUGGAAAGCUCACAUUCUUUCCUUGAAGCUCCUCCUUCAGCUUAUUCAAGCUUGUUUGGGAGUCUUUAAGGUUGAGCUGAUGUUGUCUUCUCUUCAAGCAGUUCUUGAUGACAUGCUUUGACAACUUCUUUCUUUUAACAAGCAGCGGGAGCAAAAAUCAAUAGCCCUUAAGACUAAGGCUCAUGAUACCAAUUGUUGGCGAUUUUUAGAGGAGGAGCAGAGGAAGAAAUACAGGACAGAACAAGGCAAUAUUUUUACUUGCUCCCAAAUGUGCAGCAAGGGAGCUAUGGCUUCAGCUCAUUUUGCUCACUCAUUCAACUAGAAAAACAAUACAUUUAUAGCUAAAAACUAUCACCAAAUACUACCUACUACCACUAAGUAGCCUAGUAAAUUGAUAAACAUAACUUGCACACAUGGUAAAGCUGAUUUAUGAAUCUAUCAGCACUAAUUACAUCAAACAUGUUACCAACUUAGUUCAAACCAAACUAAGCAACAAAACAUUAGCUGAAAGUAACAACAAAACAGUAGCAUAUGCUCCAGCUGCAACAUGCAAGGCUUGGGCAGCUUCCCCUGCUUCUUGGUCUGCAUGGAAGCCAACUUCAACACUUGGCAUCGCGACAAACAACUUCAAUCCUGCGAAAAAGCUAGGGUAGGGUGGUUCCGGUACAGUUUACAGGGUAAUAAAUAAUAGCAAUUUUCAGCAAAUCCAGUCUCAAUGAAAUGACAUUGUCUUUUUUUUCUAUCAAGUUUUGUGAGUUGAAUUUUUUGUGCAGGGAACACUAGAUGAUGGAAAGGAAAUAGAAGUAAAGAGAUUGUCGAAAGAUUCGGGGCAAGGAUUGGAAGAAUUUAUGAAUGAAGUGGUGGUGAUCUCUAAGCUUCAACAUCGAAAUUUGGUAAGAUUGCUUGGCUGUUGUGUUGAAGGAGAAGAGAAUAUGCUCGUCUAUGAAUAUACGGCCAACAAAAGUUUGGACGCUUUUCUCUUUGGUUAGUAACUUAUUCGAUUCCUUUUUUACUUUUUUGUUAUUUUUCGUUAUUCAAUAGUUAUAUUGGACCCUAAACAAGGGGCAAAGCUUUCCUAGAACUAUUUUCUUCAUCCACAAGACUUGAGCUUGUGUUGUUACUUAAGGGGAAUUGAGUUCCUUAUCACUCGAUCCAAUAAGCAUUAAUAUCGUUUUCCUUCUCAUUACAACUUAAACUUGGCCUCGACUACCCCAUCUACCUAAUCUGAUAAGUUCGACUCAUUUGAUUUUAGAGGUGUAACCCAUAUAGAUUAGAUAUUGGAUAUAAUUUUCUUGAAAAGUUUUCAAAAAUGAAGAAACAUAAUUUCCCAUUGAAAAAGUGUUGCGCGGAAGCGUGUGCAAGAGUAAAAAUAUUGUACUGAAAAAUCACACUAAGUUCAAUUCCCAGGAAAGAGAGGUAGAUCACGAAGAUCACUUAAAUACCAAGUCUUUCCUAGCCAGAAUAUCCCUCUAUCGUAAUUUAAUAGCACAAUAAAUCACUACAAUCACAUUCACAAAAUAUGUAAAAUAAAUAAUAAAGAACACCAGAAUUUUAACGAGGUUCAGCAAAUUUUGCCUACGUCCUCGGGCACUACCAAAUAUAUUUCACUCCAAAAAUUACAAGUGAAAUUUACAAAUAGGGAGAGAGAAUAAUGCCUUAAGUAGAGAAUGGCAAUUAUGGGAUGAAGAAAGUAAGAAAUGGUUAGGCCUAUUUAUAGUUGAGGUUCAAGGAUCAACUUGCAAUGUCCCUAUACAAUUAGGGACCAAAAUUGCAAUUAUCCCAUGCCAACUUUUAACCCAACUUGCCAACCAAUCUUACUUUCUACUUUCGGUGCCCACCCUUUUUGACUUUUCAAACAAUGGGUGGGUUCCAAUAAUCUCCACCUUGAAGAUUUGAUUAGGAUAAUCUUAUCUUCACACAAUUCUUUCUGCCUUUGACAACAAUACUUGAUAGUGCCUUCUUCAACUGUUAAACUUGCAGGAUAUUAAUCAAGUUCAAACAAUGUUCAAACUUGGUUACUGUUACCACCUUGGUCAUCAUAUCUACGGGAUUAUCUGCAGUCUUGAUCUUCUGAAGACAAAUUUUCCCCUCAUCAAUAAUUUCCCGCACAAAGUGGAAACGUACGUCAAUAUGCUUUGUACGUGCAUGAUAAACUUGAUUCUUUGCUAAAUGAAUAGCACUUUGACUAUCACAAUACACGUUAAUAUGCUCCUGGACCAAUCCCAAGGUUUUAGUCAUACCUUGUAACCAAAUAGCCUCCUUUACAGCCUCUGUUACAGCCAUGUACUCAGCUUCUGUGGUUGACAACGCAACUGUAGACUGUAGUGUAGACUUCUAACUUAUUGGUCCUCCAGCAAGUGUAAAUACAUAACCGGUGGUUAAUCUUCUCUUGUCCAAAUCACCGGCAUAGUCAGAAUCAAUGUACCCAAUAACACCUUUACCAAGUGUAUUAUCCUGCUUGAACAGUAAUCCAACAUCCAUGGUCUUCUGAAUAUACCGUAGAAUCCAUUUCACAACUUGCCAAUGUCUUUUUCCAGGAUUAUGCAUAUACCUGCUCACUAUACUAACUGCUUGUGAAAUGUUGGGUCUUGUACACACCAUUGCAUCCAUCAAGCUACCCACUGUAUUAGAAUACGGAACUUGCAACAUGUAUUCUCGUUCUGUAUUCGUCGAAGGAGAUAGUUGUGCAGAAAGCUUGAAAUGAGAAGCCAACGGGGUACUUACAGGUUUUGUCUGUUCGUUCAUGCCAAACUAUUGUAGUACCUUUUUCAAAUACUACUUCUGAGACAAGCUAACUCUAUCAUGAGCUCUAUCUCUCCAUAUUUCCAUGCCGAGAUUUUUAGCUUCUCCUAGAUCUUUCAUCUCAAACUUGAGAUUGAGUUGAGUCUUCAAUCUUUCAAUAUCAAUUUUGCUCUUAGAUGCUAUUAGCAUAUCAUCAACAUAUAAGAGCAAGUAUAUGAAAGUUCCUUCUUGUAGCUUCUGAAAAUACACGCAAUGAUCAAAUUUACUUCUUGUGUACCUUUGCCCUUUCAUGAACUGAUCAAAUCGCUUGUACCACUGCCUCGGAGAUUACUUCAAUCCAUAAAGUGACUUUUUCAGUUUGCAAACCCAAUUUUCUUUUCCAGCAACAUUGAAUCCAUCUGGCUGAGUCAUAUAGAUUUCCUCUUCCAAAUUACCGUGUAAAAACGCAGUCUUCACAUCAAGUUGAACUAGUUCGAGAUCAUAUUGCGCAACCAAGGCUAGCAAAAUCCGUAUAGAUGAAUGCUUCACAACUGGAGAAAACACUUCAUUAUAGUCUAUUCUUUCUUUCUGAGCAUAACCCUUUGCUACCAAUCUAGCCUUGUAUCGAAUUUUAUUUUUACCAGGAAAUCCUUCCUUCUUUACAUAUACCCAUUUGCAUCCAAUUUCCUUCUUUCCCUUGGGUAGUGUCACCAACUCCCAGGUCCUAUUUUUAUGAAGAGACUGCAUUUCUUCAUUCAUUGCUUGCUUCCACUUUACACCACCAGGGUUACUUAUUGCUUCUGUGUAAGUAGAAGGAAUAUCAUCAUCUGUAAUUGGAAGUGUAUAGGCCACUAUAUCAUCAAAGCGAGCAGGCUUACGAAUCUCUCUUCUUGGCCUCCUAUAUGCAAUUGAAUCUUGUUGAUGUAGAGGUUCUUGGGUAGGAACCUCUUCAUCAUUUGUCCCUUCAAUAUUAGCUGGAUCAUCGUUAACCUUUUCAAGCUCCACCCGCUGCAAAGUACUACUGGUUUUGUCAUCCUUUUGUGAAUCCUUGUACUUUAACAUGGUUGAUUUAUCAAAAGUCACAUCUCUACUGAAAACAAUCUUCCUUGUAUCAAGACAUCAGAGAUGGUAUCAUUUUACUCCAUCAGUUAUACCCAAGAAUAAUGAUUUCUUUGCUCUUAGGUCUAACUUAGAUUCUUUUACAUGAUAAUAUACAGUGAAACCAAAUACAUGUAAAGAAUCAUAAUCAGUAGAAGAUUUACCAGUCCACAUCUCCAUAGGAGUUUUUCCAUUUAUUGCAGCUGAUGGAAAACGGUUAAUUAGAUGGCACGCAUAUGUAACUGCCUCAGCCCAAAAUUCCUUGCCCAAUCCAGCAUUGGACAACAUACAUCGAACUUUCUCCAAUAUAGUUCGAUUCAUGCGUUUUGCCACCCCAUUCUGCUGUGGUGUAUCCCGAAUAGUGAAGUGUCACACAAUGCCCUCAUCUUGACAUACUUGUAGAAAUGAAUCAUUUUUGUACUCAGUGCCAUUAUCUGAUCGAAGUCGUUUGACCUUUCGACCAGUCUGAGUCUCCACCAUCUUUUUCUAUUUCAGAAAUGCAUCCAAAACUUCACUUUUUCUUUUCAUUAGAUACACCCAUACUUUUCAUGAAUAAUCAUCAACAAAAGUAACAAAAUAGUGCAUACCUCUCAAAGAAGCCACUUUGGUAGGUCCCCACACAUCACUGUGAACGUAGUCCAGAAUUCUUUUCGUAUUAUGAAUUGCUGGACCAAAUUUUACCCUCGUCUGCUUGCCCAGAACACAAUGUUCACAGAAUUCCAAUUUGCAAGAAUUUGCACCUUUCAACAAGCCUUGCUUCGCCAAAGUCUGCAAAGAUUUUUCACCAGCAUGUCCCAAUCGCAUAUGCCAUAAUCUGGUAGCCUCUGAAUCUACAUAUUUUGUAGAAACUGUUGAUGUUGAUCCAAUAACUGUAUUUCCAUUUAAAAAGUACAAGUUAUUUCUUCUUGUGCCUUUCAUCACCGUCAAUUGCCCAGCUACUACUUUUAGUAAUCCAUCUCUCAAAGUGAUUGUGAGCCCUUUAGAUUCUAGGGCCCCUAAUGAGAUGAGAUUUUUCUUCAGGCUAGGUACGUAGUGAACAUCUGUCAAGACUUGGAUUGAGCCGUCGUGAUUCUUCAAUUGGACUGUACCCACUCCCAUUGUCUUACAAGCACUAUCAUUGCCCAUAAGAACAAUUCCACCUUCUAGCUCUUUAAGACUAGAAAACCAGUCCUUAUUAGGACACAUAUGGUAAGUACAUCCUGAAUCCAAAAUCCACUCAUCCGUUUGACAUGCCAUUGCCAUGCCAACCAAGCUAAAGUCUGACUCCUCAUCAUGCUCCGCUACACAUGCAUUAGAAAUAGCCUUGCCCUUUUGUAGCUUAGGACAAUUCUUUUUCCAAUGCCCUUUUUCACGGCAAAAGGCACAUUCAUCUUUGGCGGGUCUCCCUUUGGACUUUCCCCUUCUACCAGAUUUGCUGCUGUGUGAACGACCUCUUACUGUUAAGACUUCUGCAGUUGUAUCUCUGUGAUCUCUUUUAUCUUUCUUUCGAGUCUCAUAUUUAUACAACGCACUACAGACUGCAUCAAAUGUGAUCGUGUCCUUCCCAUGAAGCAAUGUGGUGGUAAGAUGAUCAUAUUCAUCAGGAAUGGAAUUCAACAACAAUAAUGCCUUGUCUUCAUCUUCAAAUUUCUCAUCCAAAUUUAGCAAGUCUGCUAAAAUUUUAUUGAAUGAGUUCACAUGGUCAUUCAUCGACAUACCGGGUGCAUACAUGAAUCGAUAAAGUUUCUUUUUCAUAUAAAGCCUAUUUUCAAGACUUUUCGUUAGAAACUUUUCUUCCAAUGUAUCCUAUAACUUCUUCGCUGAUGUCUCCCUCAUGGUAGAGUACUUCUGCUCUUUGGCCAAACAUAGGCGGAUUGUACCACACGCCUGUCUAUUGAUCUUAGCCCACUCCUUGUCAUCCAUCUUGUCAGGUUUUUCUUCAAGGGCUAUAUCUAGUUCUUGCUGACAUAAGACAUCCAGGAUCUCACAUUGCCACAUACCAAAAUUAUUGGUACCAUCAAAUUUCUCUACUUCAAAUUUUGCAUUUGUCACAGUAGUCUUUGCUGAUGACGAUGCUGCUGCCAUUUUUCUCCUCAAUCCCAACUACUGUAUAUGUGAACAGUACUGUAUACGUAAAUAGUACCAUAUAUAUGAAUAGUAUCGUAAAUGGUCGUAUUUCCCAAGUACGAAUCUGGCUCUGAUACCAAUUGUUGCGCGGAAGCGUGUGAAAGAGAAAAAAUAUUGUACUAAAAAAUCACACUAAGUUCAAUUCCCAGGAAAGAGAGGUAGAUCACGAAGAUCACUUAAAUACCAAGUCUUUCCUAGCCAGAAUAUCCCUCUAUCGUAAUUUAAUAGCACAAUAAAUCACUACAAUCACAUUCACAAAAUAUGCAAAAUAAAUAAUAAAGAACACCAGAAUUUUAACGAGGUUCAGCAAAUUUUGUCUACGUCAUCGGGCACUACCAAAUAUAUUUCACUCCAAAAAUUACAAGUGAAAUUUACAAAUAGGGAGAGAGAAUAAUGCCUUAAGUAGAGAAUGGCAAUUAUGGGAUGAAGAAAGUAAGAAAUGGUUAGGCCUAUUUAUAGUUGAGGUUCAAGGAUCAACUUGCAAUGUCCCUAUACAAUUAGGGACCAAAAUUGCAAUUAUCCCAUGCUAACUUUUAACCCAACUUGCCAACCAAUCUUACUUUCUACUUUCGGUGCCCACCGUUUUUGACUUUUCAAACAAUGGGUGGGUUCCAAUAAAAAGUAUUAUGUAAGGAAAAUCUUAAGUAUUUUUAUAGAAAAAUAAACUUCUAAUUUUUUUUAAAUUUUUUAAAGUUUUUUUAACUUUUAAAAAUCAAGACUAAAUUAACAAAAUGUGUAAAGUUAAGGGUUAAAUAUGUUCAAAAUUUUAAAUUUAGGACUAAAUUGAUGAUUCUGUAAAUAUUGAACGAUGAAAAUUGUAAUUAUGCCAAUAGGAAAAAAUGUCACUAUUAGUGAUUUAACACAAGAGUGACCAAAAUAUUAAAUUUCGAUAACAUUAAACAGAAACACACUAAUGGUUAAAUGACUAUCUUUAUAGCUUACCCUUAAAAAUUUAAUAUUUAAAAAUUAAUUAAAUGUUAAAAUCACACAUAUUUCACAUUAGAAGGUAGUAAUUAUAAAAUAUAGAAGUAUGAUUCUAAGUUUAUGAUUCUAAGUUUUCCUUAAGCAAUAAAAUUGGUCGCCUUUGUGUAAGAGGAUAUGAAAAAUUGGUUAUGGCUUGGUCCAUGAACAUGUCAGAUGUAAUUAUAUUCUAAGAUUUGAAUAGCUGCAACGAAAUAUUUUGACUCUGUUCAUUGUUCCAUAUUUAUUUCAAUUGAUUGACAUAACAACAAUUCUAUCUACAAUCACAAUUAAUACAAUAUGGUAAAAAAUACAGCAAUGAUUGUAGUUUAGAUCCACUAUUAUAGAAAUUAACUAUAAAUCUUGAGGUCUUAUUGUUUAAGUUUUGUCAUAGAUCCAGCUAAAUAAGAUGUUUUGGAUUGGAGAAAACGAUUCAAUAUUAUUGAAGUGAUUAGUCGAGGAUUGCUUUAUCUUCAUAGAGAUUCAAGACUAAAGAUUAUACACAGAGAUAUAAAAGCAAGUAACAUUUUACUCGAUGAAAAAUUCAACCCAAAAAUUUUGCAUUUUGGGAUGGCUAGGAUUUUCGGAGGCAAUGAAAAUCAAGCUAACAUUAAAAGGGUUGUUGGAACUUAAUAAGUUGGAACUUUCUCCCUAUCAUUUAAUUUUAUUCUCUUUUUUUUUUUGGAUAAAAUAUGGUAUAGAUGUAUCUAUUGAUGGAUCAGGUCCAAUGCUUAAAAAGAUUACAUGCCUAGACCUAAAUUUAGUUUGGCUUAGUUUGAUCUAUGGACUCAUUUUACCAUUUUUAAAAAUUAAAAUAAUAAAGAAUAUAUUUUUUUAUACUUUUAUUAUUUAAUUUUAAUGUGGAUCGACUCGUGAACAAGUUUAGGUCAGGGUUGUAAUUGAUGUUGUUUUUAAUGUUAAAAUACAGUGGUUAUAUGUCUCUUGAGUAUGUAAUGCAAGGACAAUUUUUAGAGAAAUCGGAUGUAUUCAAUUUUAGAGUUCUAUUGCUAGAGGUUGUUAGCGGAAGAAGAAACACAAGCUUUUACAACGAUCAAUAUACACUUUGUCUCUUGGGAUAUGUAAGUCUAUAAGAUAAUUAGAGAUGUUGGUGGAUCAAAUUAGGGUGUAAGAAGUUUUUGCAAGCUAUUCAGGUUCGAAUCAAGAAAACUUGAAUUCUACUAAGUAACUAUUGAGUUGAGAGAUCAUGAGCUAAUCUUGAGAAUCUUAAUGCUUGAAUUGAGUAGCUUGCAAGGUGACAUCGAGAGUCCUAAUACUUGAAUUGAGUAUAUGCUCUGUUUUUUGCUUUAAAUAUAUAUUGAACAUUUUCAAUUGAAAUUUGAGCUUGACUAGAAUAUCGAGUUUAAGUUGAGCCUAAGAAUGAAGCUCAAUUUAGACAUAGGUAAACAAGCUUAAGCAAGAAAUUUUGAGCAGUUGGAUCUUUAUAUAUGUUGAAUUGAGCUUAUCAAAAUCUAUUUAGGCUUUUGUGUUUAUAACUUUGAGUUGAUUUAGGCCGGAAAGUUUUGGUAUUAAUUUAGACAAAUUUUCUUUUCCAUUCUGAGGCAUGGAAAUUGUUGGGGAAUGGCGAUAUUUGUGGCAUAGUAGACAAAGUGAUUUUAGAGUCAGAAACAUAUUCAAAGAAUGAAAAUAAAAAAGAAAUAUGGAGAUGCAUACAUGUUGGCUUGCUAUGUGUUCAAGAAUUUGCUAAAGAUAGACCCACUACGCCUACAGUUGUUUCAAUGCUUAAUAGUGAGAUUUCAAAUCUUAACACUCCAAAACAACCUGCUUUCACUGAAGCACCACUAAUGAGUCAUGAUGUUAAAGAUAGGACUUCACUUAAUGAUGUAACUCUUACAAACCUUAAUGGCAGAUAGAGAUAAAAAUUAAUUAUUUGUAGCGUUUAGAAAUACAGUUUUAAGUAUUGAAAUUUAUUUUUUAUAUUCAACCUAUUUUUAUCAUUUUAUUUCUAUGAUAUUUGUAAUUUUAUUUGUUCCAUUAUAGUGAAUUUACCAUUAUAUUUGAACAUGGCAGUUUAAUACCAAAAUUGAAAACUCAUUUGAUGAAAUUCAAAUUCAAACUCGAUCCAUUUUAAUUUAAAUAUAAAAAAAUUAACAAUUUAAACAUGUUGAAUCCAAGCUUAAAAAUAAUUUAAAAUCCAAAAUAAUUUAAAAUUAAAAUGAUUCAAACCCAAAUUUACCUAACCCAAAAGUCUCCAUUGUGUUUGGUGGAUUCAUUGUUUUGGGUCAAAGCAUCGUUCCAACCUUGGGGCCAUAAUCUUCCAUGAUAUAGUCAGUGUUAUAAGUCUUCCACUAACUAGUAAAGUUCCGCUUAAGUUCCGGAUGUAUCUUUCACAUAUCUUUCUUGGCAACUCCCCCGUAUGUCCUCGCGUUUCCGUGAAGAGACUUUUUUGAUGUCUUAAAUCGACAAUGUAAUCUUUAAGAAGAAAACAGUGGAAAGCAAAUUAAACUUGCAUUUUGGGUGGAAGAUAAAUGAGUCUUCAAGUCAAUCAAAUUAAACGUGCAUGACAAGCUAGAAGUAUUAAUUUCCAUGAACAGGGUGACAUGCUAGUUGAAUACAAAAUAAGUAGUGAUUAGUGCUUGAAGAAAAUUCAAAUCUUGAUGUAAACAUUUGCAACUGCCUUGAAAUAUCAUUACAUCAUAUCAAAAUCAGACUUUGUUUUUAACUGAAAAAAAAAAUUGAGUUGAGUUAAAUAUCAUUCAUAAAUCAUAGCGUCUCUUCCAAGUUCUGGGAAGAGAUUAUGGGAAAAACUAUUAGCUGCUCUGUUUUACUAGCUUUAAUAUCUUGCUUUUACUUACUAUUUGCCACUGCUUUAGACACAAUAACACCAUCAAAAUCCAUCAAAGACCCUGAUGUUAUAAUCUCCCAGAAUGGUGUUUUCCGAUUGGGAUUCUUCAGCUUGGCUAACUCCAGCAAUCGUUAUGUAGGGAUACUCUACAAUCAAAUCCCCGUACAAACUGUUGUAUGGGUAGCAAAUAGAAACAGGCCUCUCAAAGACUCUUCUGGGAUUCUCAACAUAUCAGAUGAUGGCAACCUUGUUGUUUCCAAUGGAAAAGCUGAGGUUCUUUGGUCAUCACAUGUUAACAAUACAGCUCCUAAUGCAACAACUGCCCAGCUUUUAGACUCUGGAAACCUUGUCCUUAGUUAUGGUGAGGAUGGAGCAGCUAGUUCUGCACGUUUAUCAUACAGACUGAGAUUAUGUAAUGGAAUAAUAAUAUGUUAUAAAGAAUUAGUAUUAUUUUGGAAAGUAAUUUUCUAAUAGUUGUAUGCAGUCAAUAUUAACGAUGUUUCUAAGCUUAAUUUAAAAGUGAAAUUUAUAACCUUUUCUCUAAUCUAAUUUAUUUUAGUUAGUAAUUUAUUUAAAUAUAAUUCAAAAAUUAUGGAUACAAUAAUUAUUGUAUGGUUUAAAUGGUGCACCAAUCAGAAGAUUAAAACGCUAUAUGAAUUUACAUAAUUAUUUAAAUAAAUACCACAUGUAUUAUAAGAGGUUUCAUUUAUUCAACAAUUGGUAAUAUGUUAUAAAAAUUAAUAAUAAUAGAAUGUUAUAGGAAAAUUUUUAAUUUAGAAGAGAUUAAAUAAAAAAAAUUCAUUUUAAGAGGACCAGAGUUCUUGUCAGCCCUCUUAACUCCGCCCCUAUAUCUCAAUCUCUAACUUUCCGAUAGCAAAAUUUUGUACCAUGUAUCCUAGAGCCAACCACUUGGCCUUAAUUAGAAAAUCAUUUGUAAGGCAACAUAUUGAAUCAAAAUAAUUAAAAGUUGGUAUAUUUUCCUACAAAUGAUUAAUAUGCAUAGUGUUACUUUCCUUUUUAGUUUGAGAUCCUUUGGUUUUUAGUUUUAAUUAAAUUUAGAAUUCUUUAUCGGGUUUCAAUUAAAUUUAGGUCUCAACACUAUAUUCUCUAUCCGCAAAACUAAACUCAAAAUCUUAUAUUCUCUAUCCGCAAAACUAAACUCAAAAUCUUAGUUAAGGAACAUUGAACUCAGAGUGGUACCAAGGAUGCUAGUCUUUAAAAUUAUAAAGAUAUAAGUUAUUAAAAUGGUGAAAUUGCAUUUUAUUUCUCACAAAAAUAUAUAACUUAAUUCCAGCCCCUAGAAAAAUUUUCUGACUUCCCCCCUAAUUAAACUUCUUAUCACUCAGUCCAACAUCUGUAGCUAAACAAGUAUUCUUAUUUGUAAGAUUCAUAUAACAAAGGGAUAAAUAUCAAAACUACACAUAAAAUUUGAUACAUGAACUUUAAUUUGAUGCAAUUAUACACAUCAAAAUUUAAUUAUGAUUCAAAUGUAUACAUAAAACAUUUAAAGAAAUAAAUACAUUACUUUAUUUUUCGUAUUAGAUAAAUUAAAUUAUUUAUAUAUGUAAUAUAAAAUACAAAAUUAUGUCAUAUCGAUAAUUGUAUUAAUAAUUUAAAUAAAAAAUUUUCAUAUAUAAAAUCAUAAUUUUUUUAGAUUUAUCCCUAUAGCAAAUAACUCCAAGUUGUAGGACAUAUAAGCCAUGCAUGCAUCAUAUCAAACGUACAAAAAACUUCUAAAGAUUGGCAAAUACUAAGUCAAUGUGUCUGUGUGCUGAAAGAAUGUUGUAUUCAAUUAUAAUUCUAUAAAUAAUGCACUUGUAAAUCCAUAAUAUAAAUAAAUGAACAUGAAAUUACUUUAUCAUGUCAUAUUCCAUCAUUUGCCGACAGGAUCUUUAUCUUCCACCUUCUUUGCUUGGGAAAUUAAGAAAGACCAACUUAAGCUCCAAGCAAGACUAGUGGGUCCUUCUGUAUAGUAUUCUAAUACUUUAAAUUAUACAUUUAAUUGAUUUUAGUAGUUAAAUUUUAUUAUUAGAUUGAUUUUAUGUAUAAGUUGUGAAUUUAGUCUCUAUUCUUUAAAUUGAUUUUUUUAAUUUUUAAAAUUUUUAGAUUUUAAAAUUUAAUCCUAACUCGAACAACAGUAGUUAAAUUCAUUAAGUAAUAUAAUACCGUUUUUGUGAGUAUUAUUUAUAAAUAAAAAACUAACAUAAUAUCACACAUGUGAUAAUAUAUUUAUUUUAUAAUAUUUUAAAAAUAAUUAAUCUAACUGUUAUUAUUUGAGUUACACAUAAUUUAAAGAAUUUAAUUAUUUUACAAAUCAAAAUAUAGAAUCGGUGCCCCUAAUCCAAUGAUAAAAAAAUUACAUCAAAAUGAAGUCUUAGGUCCAGAAUUCAAUUUUUUGGACAUCCUAUCCCCUGAUUGUAUUUGUGUGAACAUGGUGGCACAUGAGUUGAUUUUUUGGUACUCCAAUGGAAGAAAGUGCCAACAAAAAUAUAGAAAAUUAAGAGUAAUUGACACUUCCAGAAAAUUUCCACAAGCCAAUAUGAGAUUACGUAUAUACAAAGAAAAUUGAGAUGUAGACCACUAGACGUAAACAUGUGAGCCUGCCAUGAAACAUCAUUACACCAUAUCAAAAUCAGACCCUAAAAAAGGGUCAAUUUCUGUAGAAGGUCCCUACCCUACAUAUAUUUUGUGAAUUUAGUCCUUUCAUAUAAUUCGGUAUUUUUUAUCUCUCCUCUUUUUGGAAAUUACAAAUUCAAUUGAUAGAGAUGGAUACAAAAAUUAGUUAUACAAAUCAAAAAACUUUUUUAUGUCUAUGAGACUUUACCCAAAAUCUAAUUUACUAUCAAUAUGCAGUGUAAGAUGUGAAUUUAAAUUCAACUUUCUCACUAAAUUGUAACAUUGCUCCUAUAUAUCAAUAUAAGAUCAUUUUCCCCCACUAAAAUUUUCCCUUGAAAGCUUAGCUACAAAUUGAAAAAAAAAAAGAUUUACAAUGAAUUUGCAUUAAGAAUUUCCUAACAAUGAAUAGACAAGUGCUCUCUCAUAAUCGUCUAUAAUGAGACAAACAAGUCUUCUUUAGUUAAGCAUUAAUGCCUAGUAAUUCUUCAAUUGGUGGGAACGUAUAUUUCCUUGAAUUGUUGAUGGGAAUGUAUAUUUCCUUGAAUUGUUCUCGAAUAAGUUUUUAAUAAGGAAUCAAAAUAUGUAAACAUUUUUGAGGAAUAAGCUUCUAUUUCUAUAAAAAACCCAGAUCUCUCUGUACCACAAAUAACAUAAAUUCUUUAAAUAGAGCAAUUGCUUGACUGACUUUCGUCAUGAUCCAUUCCAUUAAAUUGGUGCUUAAAGUCUUUAAUAUAAUGUAAGAAUUAAAUCAAGAUUUUUCAGUAAAAAAUAUGCCAAUAUGUAUAUGGUAUAGGUUGUACAACUUUCCAAUUGCACCUUAUUUUCAAUAUUGACAAUCAACCUUAUUUAUUUAUUUAUUAAUUCUCUCAAAUAAUUUAGUAUGAUUAAAUAAAUAUUCCGAAAAGCAAAGAAAUUGAAAAAAAAUUACAUUGUAGGGACUAAAUCUUCCAAAAAUGUAAAAAUACAGGGACCUCAUAUAUUAUUUGACCUUUAUUAAUAUCAUUCAUAAAUCAUAGAAUCACUUCCAAGUUCUGCACCGGGGAAAACUAUUAGCUGCUCUGUUUUAGUAGCUUUAAUAUCUUGUUUUGACUUACAGCUGCAGUUUGGCACUGCUUCACACACUAUAACAGCAUCAAAAUCCAUCAAAGACUCUGAUGUUGUAUUAAUUUUACUUAAGUUUUACUUUGCAUUUAAAUUUGUAAUAUUUCAAAUAAUAGGUUGAAUACAUUAUAAUGUUGUAUUAAUUUUAUAUAUUUAUACAAAUUUUAUUUAACAAAUUAAAUUUUAAUUUAGUAAUAUAAUUUUUUUUAUUAUUCACAUUAAGUUUUCAAUUAAUUUGAUAUAUAUGUUAUUUGAGAAUACAGUUUUAUAUAUAUUUUUAAUGGUUGGAUUUUUUUUAUAUUAAACAAAUAAAUAUACUUUUUAACAUAGUCCAACUUUGAUGUAAUUUACAUAUAACAUGAAAUUAAACAAAUAUAGAUCUUAUAAUAAUAAUAAUAAUAAUAAACUAAGGAAAUAUUUAAACUUAUAGAUUGAUUGUGUACUUAGCCAGGUCUAGUUGAGACAGGUCUACUUGUAAGAUUGGAAUAGCCUAUGAUUCCAACUUGUCAUAUCAAAGUACGAAGACGAAUAAACAUUGGCAGAAACAGAAAAGUCUAUGCUCGAUAAUGCUCUAUCCAAUUAUAAUUUUAUGCGAGUUGCCUUUUUGGUAUUCCAAUUGAAUUCCCAGAAGCCAAUAAGGGAUCAUAACAAAAAUCAUUUACAAAUCAUAGCCUCACUUCCGGGGUCUGCACUUCAAGAACUUCAUGGGUAAAACUAUUAGUAGCUGCCUUUUACCAGCUUUAAUAUCUUGUUUUUACUUGCAGCUGCAGAUUGGCACUGCUUCAGACACUCUAAGAGCAUCAAAAUCCAUCAAAGACCCUGAAUUUAUCAUCUCACAGGGUGGAGUUUUCCGAUUGGGAUUCUUCAGCUUUGCUAAUUCCACCAAUCGUUAUGUAGGGAUAUUGUACAACCAAAUCCCCGUACAAACCGUUGUAUGGGUGGCAAAUAGAAACAGGCCUCUCAAAGACUCUUCUGGAAUUCUCACCAUAUCAGAUGAUGGCAAACUUGUUGUUUUGAAUGGAAAAGCUGAGAUUCUUUGGUCAACACAUGUUACGAAUCUGGUUCCUAAUGCAACAACUGCACAGCUUCUAGACUCUGGAAAUCUUGUCCUCAAUAAUGGCGACAAUGGAGGAAGCAGCAGCUUAUGGGAGAGUUUUCAACACCCUUCUAAUGUAUUCCUUCAAACUAUGAAGAUGGGCGUUGAUUUAUAAACGGGUCGUAAGGUGCAUACCAGAUCAUGGAAAGGCCCUGAUGAUCCAUCUGAUGGUAACUUUUCUCAAGGCCUCGAACCUUUCAACAUCCCAGAGGGUGUCAUUUGGAACAAUAACCAGAUAUAUUUUCGGACUGGCCCAUGGAAUGGCCAUAUCUAUAUUGGUUUAAUAGAUAUGAAUACCGUUUAUCUUGAUGGGUUUUAUGUGGUUGCAGAUGAUGACGGAAAAAGUUAUUAUGAAACUUACAAAUAUUCUAAUAAGUCUAUGUUGAUAUACUAUGAAUUAGAUUAUGAAGGAAGAUUCGUUGGACGAAAUUGGGAUGCGGGGAAAGGGGACUGGAUAAACAGUUACCAAAUUCUUCGAACAGAUUGUGAUUUUUAUGGAAAGUGUGGGGCAUUCGGAAUCUGCGAUCGAAUGAAACGACCCAUUUGCAGUUGCUCAAAGGGAUUUAAGCCUAGGAAUGCAGAGGAAUGGAGUAGAGGUAAUUGGAGUAGAGGGUGUUUUAUAGGACUACCCCUUUGCAGUGCCAAAGAGAUAACAACAAUGGCAGUGGAGGAGCAGGGCAAAGUGAUGAUGGGUUUUUGAAGCUCAAGACGAUGAAAGUACCGGCUUUUCCAAAUCAGUCAUCAAUAAUUAACGGCGAAUGCAAAGAUCAAUGCAUGAAGAAUUGUUCGUGCGUGGCUUAUGCGUAUGAUGCUGGUAUUGGUUACAUGUUAUGGAGUGGAGAUUUGAUUGAUGUCCAGAAAUUCCCCACUCGCGGAGUCGAUCUUUACAUUCGUCUGUCAUCUUCGGAACUUGGUAACCUUGUCUUCAUGUUGACCAUGUUUGAUAAAUUGCGUUAAUUACCCAAGUAUUAUUAACCAAGUGUCUAAAAUUGCAGAUAAAGGCAAAAGUACUAAGGUCAUUGCGAUUACAACAGUAAUUGCGGGCAUAGUGGUUAUUACAAUUUCUGCACUCUUCCUAUGGUGUGGGAUGGCUAAACAAAGAGGUAAAUUGUCGUCUCUAUUUAUUUAAUUUAUGUAGUCACUUUUUUUUAUAUGAAAUAUGUAAUCACUUUAAGAGAAGAAUAUCUGAUAAAUUUGCAACAAUAUCAUCAUUAUUAUUACAACAGUAAUUGUAGUUUGUAGGCAUAGCGAUAUCUACAAUUAUGUAGCCUUCAACUCAUUGCUUCUUUGAUCUCUAUCUCAGGAAGGAAUAAAAGACACAAACAGAUCAAACACAAAUCUUAUAGUGAAAAUGUUGGAGAAAGUUCAAUCGGUGUUAAACUCGAGCAGCUUCCACUAUUCAAUUUCGAACAACUUGCCACCGCGACCAACCGGUGUUAAACCCGAGCAGCUUCCACUAUUCAAUUUCGAACAACUUGCCACCGCGACCAACAACUUCCAUCCUGCAAAAAAGCUAGGGCAGGGUGGUUUUGUCCCUGUUUACAAGGUAAUAAAUAAUAGCUAUUUCCGGUGAAUCCAGCGUUAAUGAAAUGACAUUCUUUUCUCAAUUAAGUAUUGUGACCUGAAUUGUGAAUGUAGGGAACAUUAGAUGAUGGAAAAGAAAUAGCAGUGAAGAGAUUGUCGAAAGCUUCGGGGCAAGGAUUGGAAGAAUUUAUGAACGAAGUGGUGGUUAUUUCAAAGCUCCAACAUCGAAAUUUGGUUAGAUUAUUUGGGUGUUGUGUUGAAGCAGAAGAGAAGAUACUCGAUCGUCUAUGAGUUCAUGCCCAAUAAAAGUUUGGACGCUUUUCUGUUUAGUUAGUAAUUUAUUUAAACUCUCUUUUUUUAAGUGUUAGUUAAUCAUAUUCAACUCUGAUUAAAUUUAAAAUCAAAUUAAGUCAAUUCAUUCACAAAAUUUAAAUUAAAAACUUUGUUUAAGAGGCAUUUAAAUUCUUACCAUUCUUUUUUUUUUUUUUUUGAGAACUAAAUUCUUACCAUUCAAUUCACUAGUCAUGGGUACAUUUUCGUGACUGCCUAAUCUCAUAAGUUUGACUAGAUAAAUCAAAUCCAUAUAAAUUAAAUUUGGGAUUUAAUUUUGAUUUUUAAGUGGCCCAAUCCAACUUAAAUCUAAUUAUAUAUUAUAUUUAUUACUAAAGUUAAUGUCUUACAAUAUGUGAAUUGUAUAACCUAGCUAAGCUACGUACAAUAUAUAUGUAUACAUAUAUUAUAUAUUAUAUAUAUAUAAGUAAAAAAAUGUUUGCAUCACCAUAAACUAUUUUUCUAACUUAUUUUGCUUUUUUUUAUAAAUAUUUCCAAUUUUUUAAUUUUUAUUCCCCAAAAAAAGGAAAUUUCAAAAAGAAAAUAGAAUAACAUUCAAGUUUAUUAAGUAAAAUUACUAUAUAUAUAUAUUCAAUUUUGUGCUGUCUACAUUUUUUUUUUGAAUUUUCACUUUUUUAUUUGAAUUUUCUCUCUCUCUCUCUUUUUAAAAUCUAUUUUAUAAGGAAAAUUAUAUAUUUUUUUAUUAGGAGUUGGUCUAUAUUCUAGGAUUUAAAUAGUAGUGGCAGCAGUAAAUUUUGACUCUUUCCGCAUUUUAAUAUUUAUUUCAAUUGAUUGACGUAACUUCAAUUAUGCUACAUUCAUAAUGAAUACAAUAUGAUAGAAAUAAAAUGCUGGUUUUAGUUUAGAUCCUCAAUUAUAGGAAUUAAUUAUUAAUUUUGGUGGUAAAUUUUGUUACAGAUCCUAUUAAACAAGAUUCUUAGAUUGGCGAAAGCGCUUCAAAAUUAUUGAAGAAAUCAGUCAAAGAUUACUUUAUCUUCAUAGAGAUUCAAGAUUAAGAAUUAUACAUAGAGAUUUAAAAGCAAGUAAUGUUUUACUUGACCAAGAUUUAAAUCCAAAAAUUUCAGAUUUUGGAAUGGCAAGGAUCUUCGGAGGAGACGAAAAUCAAGCCAAUACUAAAACGGUUGUUGGAACUUAGUAAGUAGGAACUUUCUCUCUACCAUUUAUUUUUAUUCAUUUUUUGAUAAAAUAUGAUAUAAAUAUGUCUAUGGUCGGGUUCGGUGCUUUUAGAAAAUAAAUGUUCAUACCAAGUAUCAAGUUUAAUUUUUUUCAAUUUGUGGACUCAAUUUAUUGUUUUUAAUUUUAAAUGAUUUAUUAUUUAUUCUUAAUUUGGGUUGGCUCGUGGCCAAGUUUAAAUUAGAGUUGUAAUGGGUGUUUUUUUAAUUUUAAAAUACAGUAGUUAUAUGUCCCCUGAGUAUGCAAUGCAAGGGCAAUUUUCAGAGAAAUCAGAUGUGCUCAGCUAUGGAGUUCUACUACUAGAGAUUGUUAGUGGAAGAAGAAACACAAGCUUUUACAACAAUAAGGAUGACCUCAGCCUCUUGGGAUAUGUAAGUUCAUAAGAUAGUUAGAGAUGUUGGUGGAUGGAAUUAGGGUGUAAGAUAUUGUAUUUGAGAGUUAUUCGGGUUCGAUUUCAGAAAACUUAAAUUUGGCUCAACAAUUAUUGAGUCAAGCAAUCAUGUGAGUUGAAUUUGAGAAUCUAAAUUUUUGAAUCGAGUAGCUCACAAGCUAACUUCAAGAACCCUAAUACUUGAAACGAUUAGCUUGCAAGGCUUUUCAAUCUUAAUCAAUAUUGAAAAGUUUUAGUUCAAACUCGAACUUGAUUGCAAAUAAUCAAGUUUGAAGUUAAGCAUAAGAGUGAAGCUCAUUGUAGACUUAGGUAAAACAAGCCUAAUAGAGUUAGAACAUUUUAAUCUUUAUCUUAUCUUGAAUAAUUUUGUUAUUAAUGAAGUCAAAAGUUGUUUUUUGUUUUCAGGCAUGGAAAUUAUGGAGGGAAGGCAAUAUUUGGGGCUUAGUAGACAAGGUGAUUUUAGAGUCGAAAUCAGAUUCAAAUAUGGAAAAAGAAAUAUGGAGAUGCAUAAUAUACAUGUUGGAUUGCUAUGCGUCCAAGAAUAUACUAAAGAUAGGCCCACUAUAUCUAUUGUUAUUUCAAUGCUUAAUAGUGAGAUUUCAGAUCUUAACACUCCAAAGCAACCUGCUUUCACUCAAGCACCACUAAUGAGCCAUGAUGUUGAAGAUAGAGGUUCACUUAAUGAUGUAACUCUUACAAACCUUGAUGGUCGAUAAAAAUGUAAAUUAAUUAUUUGUAUUGUUUACAAUUAAAGUUCAAGCAUUGAAAUAAAACCAAUUUAACAAUGCCAUGUUAAAUUUUGCCAAAUCGUGGAAACCUAUCCCACCAUCUUCUUUCAAGUUACAAAAAUAAGACCAAUUGCACUAAUGUAUACCCUUACUCUCUGUCGACUUCUGCCACCAAAAUCUGGCCCGUAUAGCUUUGAGCUCUUUGCAAAACGUCUUAGGGAGCAGAAAACACAUCAUCGCAUGGGUAGGAAUAGCUUGAAGUGCAAGUUUUAUAAAUACCUCACUAAAGUAACCGAGUACUCCAUGAAGAAAUCUCACUUCUAAUCUUAUCCCGAAGGCUAGCAAAAUUUGGUACCAUAUAUCCUAGUGCCAAUCACUUGGCCUUAGAAAAUCAUUUGUAAGGCAACAUAUUGAAUCAAAAUAAUUAAAAGUUGGUAUAUUUUCCUACAAAUGAUCGAUAUGCAUAGUGUUACUUUCCUUUUUAGUCUGAGAUCCUUUGGUGUUUAGUUUCAAUUAAAUUUAGAAUUCUUUAUCCGGUUUCAAUUAAAUUUAGGUCUCAACACUAUAUUCAAUAUCCACAAAACUAAACUCGAAAUUUUAGUUAAGGAACAUUGAAUUCAGGGUGGUGCCAGGGAUGCUAACAAGGGUUUCGUUAGCCUGUUUUCCCCUCCCCAGAAAAGAAAAUCUCGCUUUUGGCUUUUUAAAGUUUAUAGAAUUUUAAAUUUAUAUAUAGUAAAUUUAUACUUUGACUUCCAAAAAUAUUAAAAUUUUGAUUUAAUCUUUUAAAAUUAUAAAGAUAUAAGUUAUUAAAAUAGUGAAAUUACAUUUUAUCUCUCACAAAAAUAUAUAACUUAAUUCUAGCUCCUAGAAAAAUUUUCUGACUUUCCUCCUGAUUAAACUUCUUAUCACUCAGUCCAACAUCUGUAGCUAAACAAAUAUUCUUAUUUGUAAGAUUCGUAUAACAAAGGAAUAAAUAUCAAAACUACAUAUAAAGUUUGAUUUAAUAUGUAAUUUGAUACAUAAACUUUGAUUUGAUGUAAUUAUACACAUCAAACUUUGAUUAUGACUCAAAAGUAUACAUAAAAUAUUUAAAUAAAUAAAUACAUUACUUUAUUUUUUGUAUUAGAUAAAUUAAAUUAUUUAUAUAUGUAAUAUGAAAUACAAAAUUGUAUUAUAUCGAUAAAUGUAUUAAUAAUUUAUAAAAUUUAAAUAAAAAAUUCAUAUUUUAGAUUUAUCCCUGUAGCAAACAAUUCCAAGUUGUGGGACACAUAAGCCAUGCAUGCGGCAUAUCAAACGGACAAAAAACUUCUAAAGAUUGGCAAAUUCUAAGUCAAUGUGUCUGUGUGCUGAAAGAAUGGUGUAUUCAAUUAUAAUUCUACAAAUAAUGCACUUGUAAAUCCAUAAUAUAAAUAAAUGAACAUGAAAUUACUUUAUCAUGUCAUAUUCCAUCAUUUGCUGACAGGAUCUUUAUCUUCCACCUUCUUUGCUUGGCAAAUUAAGAAAGACCAACUUAAGCUCCAAGCAAGUCUAGUGGGUCCUUCUGUAUAGUUUUCUAAUACUUUAAAUUAUACAUUUAUUUGAUUUUAGUAGUUAAAUUUUAUUAUUAAAUUGAUUUUAUGUUUAAGUUGUGAAUUUAAUCGUUAUUCUUUAAAUUGAUUUUUUUAAUCUUUAAAAUUUUUGAAUUUUAAAAUUUAAUCCUAAUUCGAAUGAUAGUAGUUAAAUUCAUUAAGUGAUAUAACAUCAUUUUUGUGAGUAUUAUUUAUAAAUAAAAAGUUAACAUAACAUCACACAUGUGAUAAUAUUUUAUUGUAUAAUAUUUUAAAAAUAAUUAAUCUAACUGUUAUAAUUUGAGUUACACAUAAUUUAAAGAAUUUAAUUAUUUUAUAAAUUAAAAUAUAGUAUCGGUCCAUGAUAAAAAAGAUUAUAUUAAAAAUUAAGUCCUAGGUCCAUAAUUCAAUUUGUUGGACACCUACCCUGACUGUAUUUGUGUGAACAUGGUGGCACAUGAGUUGAUUUUUUGGUACUCCAGUGGAAGAAAGUGCCAACAAAACUAUAGAAAAUUAAGAGUAAUUGACACUUCCAGAAAAUUUCCCUAAGUCCAAAUGAGAUUACGUAUAUGCAAAGACAGUUUAGAUGUAGAUCACUGGAUGUAAACAUUUAAGACUGCCAUGAAACAUCAUUACACUAUAUCAAAAUCAGACCCUAAAAAAGAGUCAAUUUCUGUAGAAGGCCCCUACCCUAUAUAUACUUUGUGAAUUUAGUCCUUUCAUAUAAUUCGGUAUUUUUUAUCCCUCCUCUUUUUAGAAAUUGCAAAUUCAAUUGAUAGAGAUGGACACACAAAAAUUGGUUAUACAAAUCAAAAAACUUUUGUACACCUAUGAAACUUUGCUCAAAUUGCAACAUCGUUACUAUAUAUCAAUAUAAGAUCAUUUUCCUCCACUAAGAUUUUCCCUUGAAACCUUAGUUACAAACUGAAAAGAAUAAAUGGUUUACAAUGAACUUGCAUUAAGAAUUCCUUCAAUCGGUGGGAUCAUAUAUUCCCUUGAAUUUUUCUCGAAUAAGUUUUCAAUAAAGAAUCAAAAUAUGCAAAGAAUUUCAAGGAAUAAACUUCUAUUUCUAUAAAAAAGACCAGAUCUCUCUGUAGCACAAAUAACAUAAAGUCUUUAAAUAGAGCAAUUGCUUGACUGACUUUCGUCAUGAUCUAUUCUAUUAAAUUGUUGCUUAAAGUCUUCGUAAGAAUUAAAUCAAAAUUUUUCAAUAAAAAAUAUGGUAGGUUGUGCAACUUUCCAAUUGCACCUUAUUUUCAAGAUUGACAAUCAACCUUUUUUCAUUAACUCUGUCAAAAUAAUUUAGUAUGAUUGAAUACAUAUUUCGAAAACCAAAGAAAUUGAAAAAAAAAAAUUAUAUUGUAGGGACUAAACCUUCCAAAUAUGUAAAAAUAGAGGGACCUUAUUUAUUAGUUGACCUUUAUUAAUACCAUUCAUAAAUCAUAGAAUCACUUCCAAGUUCUGCACCAGUUACACGGUCAUGGGGAAAACUAUUAGCUGCUCUGUUUUAGUAGCUUUAAUAUCUUGUUUUGACUUACAGCUGCAGUUUGGCACUGCUUCACACACUAUAACAGCAUCAAAAUCCAUCAAAGACCCUGAUGUUAUAAUCUCCCAGAAUGGUGUUUUCCGAUUGGGAUUCUUCAGCUUGGCUAACUCCAGCAAUCGUUAUGUAGGGAUAUUGUACCACCAAAUCCCCGUACAAACUGUUGUAUGGGUGGCAAAUAGAAACAGGCCUCUCAAAGACUCUUCUGGGAUUCUCACCAUAUCAGAUGAUGGCAACCUUGUUGUUUCCAAUGGAAAAGCUCAGAUUCUUUGGUCAACAAAUGUUACGAAUUUGAUCCCUAACGCAACAACUGCACAGCUUUUAGACUCUGGAAACCUUGUCCUCAAUAACGGUGAGAAUGGAGGAAGUAGCAUCUUAUGGGAGAGUUUUCAACACCCUUCUAAUGCAUUUCUUCAAACUAUGAAGAUCAGCACUGAUGUAAAAACGGGUCGUAAGGUGCAGACGAGAUCAUGGAAAAGCCUUGAUGAUCCAUCUGAUGGCAACUUUUUUCAAGGCAUUGAACCUUUCAGCAUCCCGGAGGGUGUCGUUUGGAACAAUAACCAGAUAUAUUCUCGGACCGGCCCAUGGAAUGGUCGUAUCUAUAUUGGUUUAAUAAAUGUUAAUAGUGUUUAUUUUGAUGGGUUUUAUGUGGUUGCAGAUGAUGUAGAAAAAACCUAUUACGAAACUUACGAAUAUUCUACUGAUUCUAGGUUGAUAUACUAUGAAUUAGAGUCUGACGGAAGAUUCGUUGAACGAAUAUGGGAUGCGGGGAAAGGGGACUGGAUAACCGGGUACUCUAGUUAUCGAACAGAUUGUGAUGUUUAUGGAAAGUGUGGGGCAUUUGCUAUCUGCGAUUCAACGAAACGACCCAUUUGCAGUUGCUUGAAAGGGUUUAAGCCUAGGAAUAUAGAAGAAUGGAGUCAAGGUAAUUGGAGUAGUGGGUGUUUUAGGACUACCCCUUUGCACUGCCAAAGAGAUAACAACAACGGAAGUGAAGUAGGCCAAGGAGAUGAUGGGUUUUUAAAGCUGAAGAAGACGAAAGUACCGGCAUUUCCAGACCAGUCAUCAAUAACUAACGGCGAAUGCAAAGAUCAAUGCAUGAAGAAUUGUUCGUGCGUGGCUUAUGCGUAUGAUGCUGGCAUUGGUUGCAUGUUAUGGAGUGGAGAUUUGAUUGAUGUCCAGAAAUUCUCUACUCGGGGAGUCGAUCUUUACAUUCGUCUGCCAUCUUCGGAACUUGGUAAACUUGUCUUCCAUAUCGACCAUGUGUGUGACGAAUUGCAUCAAUUAAUCUUCAUUUUUGGUUUAGAUGUUUUAUUAACCAUGUUCUGGAUUUGCAGAUACAGGGAAACAUACUAAGGUCAUUGUUAUUACAACAGUAAUUUCAGGCAUGCUCGUGAUUAUAAUAAUUUCUGCACUCUUCGUAUCGCGUAGAAUGGGUCAACAAAGAGGUAAAAUGUCCAUCUUUAUUUGUUUAAUCUUUGUAGUCACUUUUUUUUAAGAAAUAUGUAAAUUCUAGAGUUCUCUUCGGGUAAAAUUGGAUUUAAAGGUAUUUUUUAUUCGAUUUAAAUUCAAAUUUUAGAUAAAAUAAAAUUAAAAUAGAAUUGACUCGAAUACUGUGAAAAGCUCUAAACUUAAUUGAGUACUAUUGUAAAAGGUGAAGGUUGAAUUCAAGUGAGAUUAAAUUAUUCAAUUUUGCUCGAUUAAGUUGGUUUAUAUAAGUUACAAAUUAGUAUCUGAUUAUAUAUAUAUAUAUAUAUAUUAAAGUUUGAAUUCUCAUUCCUAUAUAUUUUUAUAUUCAAAUAACAUGGACCAUGUGUUAGAUAAAUUGGGUGAAUUAAUUUGCAAUUCUUUUGGGUCGAAGUUUCAUAAACCAAGUUUCUGGAUUUGCAGAUAAAGGGAAAAGUAGUAAGGUCGUCUUUGUUAUUACAACAGUAACUGUGGGCAUAGUCGUAAUUACAAUUAUGUAACCUUCAACUCAUUGCUUCUUUGAUUUCAAUCACAGGAAGGAAUAAAAGACGGACACAGAUCAAACACAAAUUUCAUAGUGAAAAUAUAGGAGAAAGUUCAAUCGGUGUUAAACUCCAGCAGCUUCCACUAUUCAAGUUCGAAGAACUUGCCACCGCGACCAACAACUUCCAUCCCGAGAAAAAGCUAGGGCAGGGUGGUUUUGGUCCGGUUUACAAGGUAAUAUAUAAUAGUGAUUUCCGGUUGUUAGGAUAAUCAUCACCAGUCCAAAGCCGGAUUGUAAUGAGUUCAUAGGCCAGGCCCAUUAAUCGAGAAUUUUACAGGAAAGCAAGCUCAACUUACGAGCUCAUUACAAUCAAACCCAAACCCAUUUGGAUUUUGAGCCGAAUGAUAAUUAUCCUAACACCGGUGAAUCCAGAGUCAAUGAAAUCACAUUUUUUUCAAUCAAGUAUUGUAGUCUGAAUUUUGAGUGCAGGGAACAUUAGAUGAUGGAAAGGAAAUAGCAGUGAAGAGAUUGUCGAAAGCUUCGGGGCAAGGUUUGGAAGAAUUUAUGAACGAAGUGGUGGUUAUUUCUAAGCUCCAACAUCGAAAUCUGGUUAAAUUGUUUGGGUGUUGUGUUGAAGCAGAAGAGAAUAUGCUCGUCUACGAGUUUAUGCCAAACAAAAGUUUGGACGCUUUUCUAUUCGGUUAGUAAUUUAUUCAAAUCUUAUAUGACAUUUUCGGUCUCUAAUCAAAUUCAGAAAUGAGUUGAAUAGGAUCCCUUAAAAAAUAAUGUUCUCCCAUAAAUGUUUUCUCCAUUCACAAAAUUUAAAUUUAGGUGUAAAAGUGAUAUUUUGAUUCUCUUCACCAUUUAAUUAUGUCUACAAUCAUAAUGAAUACAAUACGGUAGAAAUACAAUGAUUGUUGUAGUUUAGAUCCUCAAUUGUAGGAAUUAAUUAUUAAUCUGAUAGGUUUUUAUGUUUAAAUUUUGUUAUAGAUCACGUUAAACAAAAACUCUUGGAUUGGAGAAAACGCUUUAAUAUUAUUGAAGGGAUUAGUCGAGGAUUACUUUAUCUUCAUAGAGAUUCAAGAUUGAAGAUUAUACACAGAGAUCUAAAAGCAAGUAAUGUUUUACUUGACCAAGAGCUAAACCCAAAAAUUUCAGAUUUUGGGAUAGCCAAGAUCUUCGGAGGUGACGAAAAUCAAGCCAACACUAAAAGGGUUGUUGGAACUUAGUAAGUUAGAAUUUCCUUCCUACCAUUUCUUUUUAUACUCUUUUUAAUAAAAAAUGGUAUAAAUAUGUCUAUGGUCGGAUUUGGUGCUUAAAGAUGAUACAUGUCCAUACUCGCAUCGAGUUUAAUUUUGUUCAAUUUGUGGACUCAAUUUAUUGUUUUUAAUUUUAUUAAUAAAAUAUUAAAAAUAUAUUUUUAUAGUUAACUUUAAAUUAUUUAUUAUUUAUUCUUAAUUCAGGUUGGCUUGUGGACAAGUUUAAAUAAGAGCUGUAAUUGGUGUUGUUUUUUAUGUUAAAAUACAGUGGUUAUAUGUCUCCUGAAUAUGCAAUGCAAGGGCGAUUUUCAGAGAAAUCUGACGUGUUCAGCUAUGGAGUUCUACUACUAGAGAUUGUUAGUGGAAGAAGAAACACAAGCUUUUACAACAAGGAUGACCUUAGCCUCUUCGGAUAUGUAAGUUCAUAAGAUAGUUAGAGAUGUUGGUGGAUGGAAUUAGGAUGUACGAUUUCGUAUUUGCAAUCUAUUUGGGUUCGGUUUGAGAAAACUUCAAUUUAGCUCAAUAAUUAUUGAGUCGAGAAAUCAUGUGAGUUGAAUUUGAGAAUCUUAAUGCUUGAAUCGAGUAGCUCACAAGUGAAUUUCAAGAACCCUAAUACUUGAAUUGAGUAGCUUGCAAAGCUUUUCAAUCUUAAUCAAUAUUGAAAAUUUUCAGUUCAAACUCGAGCUUAAUUAUAAAUAAUCGAGUUUGAAGUUAUGCAUAGGAGUGAAGCUUUUGUAGAUUUAGGUAAAACAAGCCUAAUCAAGAGAGUAAAAACACUUCAAUUAACUCUAUUAAAGCUUUAAGAUUAAAAUUUUGAGUCACGUUAAGCCAAAUGAUUUAGGCAUUAAUUUAGAUAAAAUUGUUUACUGUUUCAGGUCUGGAAAUUAUGGAACGAAGGCAACAUUUGGGACUUAGUAGACAAGGUGAUUUCAAAGUCAGAAUCAGAUUUAAAGAAUAAGAAAGAAAUAUGGAGAUGCAUACAUGUUGGAUUGCUAUGCAUUCAAGAAUAUGCUAAAGAUAGGCCCACUAUGUCUACUAUUGUUUCAAUGCUUAACAGUGAGAUUUCAGAUCUCAACACUCCAAAACCACCUGCUUUCACUCAAGGACCACUAAUGAGCCAUGAUGUUGAAGAUACGGUUUCAGUUAAUGAUGUAACUUUUACAAACCUUGAUGGUCGAUAAGAUAGAAAUUAAUUAUUUGUAGUGUUUACAAUUAGAGUUCAAGCAGUGAAAUUUAUUUUUAUAUUAUGUUUUGAUAUGUUUUUGUCAUUUUAUUUGUUUCAUUCUAGAGUGAAUUUACCACGGUAACUUUGUCCCAUACUUGAAAACUUGAUUUUAUCAAAUCCAAACUUAAACUUGACCUAACUUGAAUUGAACAUAAAAGAUCAAUAAUUUGAACCCGUUCACCUUAAACUCAAAAAUGAUUUAAAACCUAAAAUGAUUUGAAUUUAAAGUGACCAAAUUCAAAAUUUCUUAAAUACAUAACCCGAAAUGUUCUGAACCUAAUAUGACCUAACUUGAAAAACCCAACUUACAAAUCCACCUGAACCCAAAAUAGCUUCAACCUUAAACUAAUUCAAAUUCAAAAUUACUCAAAAAUUUUAAAAUUUGAAUUAUACUUGAAGUCACUCUUUGUAAUGAUUAUCACUUUUGUUUAUUGAAUUUUGCAGGGUAAAAAAGCUCAUGAAGUUUUAAAAAAUUCUAUAAGUCAUACAAAAUGCAUUUAAUUAUACUCUUAAACUUGAAAAUAUUAUCAAUUAAGCUCUUUAACCAAUGAAAUUCAUUGUUGAUUGUUAAUUUAAUUAAAAGUUACUGAUGUGGUAGUUAAUAAUUGUCAAAUCAUUCAUUUUCUUUCAAGCUGCAGUCCAAAGUAGUAGAUAAUGUGUAAACUUAAUGACAUGGGAAUUGGAGAAGAAAUUUAAAAAGAUUAGUAAUUAAACUAUCAAAUGUAAUUAAUUAAACUUGAUGAUAGUGUAACACUCCCAACCCUAUAUCGUCACUGGAACAGGGUUACGGAGCAUUAUCGGACAUAUCAAAUAUUACGAAUAACUCACAAAUAAUUGACAUACAAAGGAUAAAUUUAAUCCUUAAGUCCCUAAAAUGGACCCUCGAGGCCCAAAACACGUAUUAGAAGUGGAUUGAGGCUUAUCCAGGUGCUCAGAGAAUUUUCGUAAAUUUUUAAAAAAAUUAACUCAAUAUAACUUCCUUUAUAUACAUCUAACCUUCCCUGCAAUUUCAAACCGAAACCAAUCCAAUACCAAUGAUAUAACCAAUUCAAUUCAUACAUGUAAACAUCUAAAACAUGCCAAGAUUAAUACUAGAAUUUACUAUAUGAUCAUUCAUACCAUUAUUCAAAUUAAAUUAAAAGUUCUAUUCAAUUUUCAAUUCAAACAUAAUGUUAUAUAUACCAUUUCAUUUAUUUAAUCUUUCAUUUACCAAUUUAAAUCAUCACAUAUUAUCCUUACAAUCCAAAACCACAUUAACUCAAAAUACAACCUAGGUACAUCCCACAUAUACCAAAAUAAAAUAUACAUCACCAAGGUUGCUGAGAUCGGGAUUGGUUCGGAUGCUGGACCAGAUUUUGACUCCUACUGACCUACGCACGGAAAAUAACCGUACGCUGAGUAUAGACAUACUCAGUGGUAUUACUAUAAUUCAAACUAUAAUAACAAUAAUGAAAUAUAAAUAUUAAACAUAUAAAAAUUGAAUUUUCUCAAAUAUUAACUCGUUCUUAAACUUCAUUCGUUAAUAAUAGUAACACAAUUUCAACUAUUUAUCAAUUUCAAUCAAAUAUCAUGGACUUCAAUUUUCUUCACUACAUCAACGUUUUGAAUUUUCUCAAAUAUUAACUCGUUCUUAAACUUCAUUCGUUAAUAAUAGUAACACAAUUUCAACUAUUUAUCAAUUUCAAUCAAAUAUCAUAGACUUCAAUUUUCUUCACUACAUCAACGUUUAGUUCAUGCCUUCCAUUUCCAAUCUCAAUUUUAAUCCAUAAUUUAAAUUUCUCAUUUCAAUUUUUCACCCUAUUAACAGACCCGGACUUUGGCGGAUACACGGAUCCAACCAAACACACCAGAAUGGCACCUAGUGCCUCAUCGGAUAGUUCGAAGCAAAGUUGACACCCAGUGUCUCAUCGGCCUAGCCGAAGUAAAGUGGUACCCAGUACCUCAUUAAAUCUAUCUGAAGUAUAAUAGUGACACUCAGUAUCUCAUCGACUCGAAGUCGAAGUAUCCCUAAACACUUCCAAUCCUAUGGCAUGCCAACUAUAUCCGACUUAGCCGGACUAGUUAAUAAGGUAUUUAAUUCACUUUCUCUGUUUCAAUCAAUAUUCACAUCAAUUCCACUUAAAUCACAAUUUCACUUUCAAUUCAAAAAUCCACUUUCAAAAUCAAAUACACUUUCCAUUCACCAAUCAAAAUACAAUUCAAUACUAACACAUAUUUCUCAUUCAAUUCAACUUCACUUUAAAUCCCAAAUUCUCUUUCAAUUCAACAAUUCAAUCAUUAUCCAAUACUAAAAUUUAUUUAACAACCAUUUCAAUUAUCAUUCAAUUCCAUAACAACACUUACCUCAUAAUUUACUUACCAAUUACAUAAUUUAAUUUAACAUUUAAUGAAUAAAUAAAUAAUUUGAAUUAUAGUAAUACAAACCCAGAUUUGUUCGAUUACUCCUCGAAAACUUUUUCCCUUCUUUUCGGUACCGAUGCCUUGGGUUCUUUGCUAGCUACGAAAAUAAUAAUAAUUUUCACUAUUAAUUAGAGCAUUAAAUUAUAAUAGAUAAUUGAAUUUUAUUCAAUUCCUACUUAUUUUCAAUUUAAUCCUAAAUAAGUUUACUUACUUUUCUAACUUAAUUCAUACUUCUUUUCUACUUAAUUUCUUGCCAUAUGAAACUCAACUAUUCAAUAUUCAUAAUAAAACUCUAAUUUAAAAUUUAUUUCAAUUUAAUCCCUCUAUCACAAAACUUAUAGCUUUUUUUACAAUUUAAUCCCUUUAUCAAUUCUAACUUAAAAUUUAUUCAAUUAAAUCCCUAAUUCACUAUUUUGUUCAACAUGAACUAUAUUUAAAAACUUUAAAACUUCCAAAACCUCAACUUAAUUUCAUUAAAACUUUAUUCCAAAGCUUCUAAAACAUCAAAUUUAAGAGAAAAUGGAUUAAUUGACUUACCAAAUUAAACUUCAAGCUUUAAAACCUUAGUUUCUCUUUUUGUUUUCUUUCUUUCUUUCCUUUCCCACUUUCGAAUGGCUUUCUCUGAUUUAUUUCCUUUCUUUCCUUUAUUUGUUUCUUUUUCUUAUUUACUUUAUAAUUAUAACUUAAUAUAUGUAUUAACUACUUAAUUUAUAAAUAUCUAUUUGAUAGCAAAUAUAUAUGUUACAAUUGUACAUUAUCUCCACCCUACAUUUGUCUUGAUCUAAUCUAUUUCAUAAUAUAAUAAUAUAAUAUUAAUGAAUAAUAAUUAUAUAUUUACUUAAAUAAAAAGUAAUUAAAUAAAAAAAUAUUACAAUUGUAUGUUCAUGAUUUAUCACACUUGUAUUUUACUAUCACCUUACAUUUGUCAUCUUAUUAAUUUAUUCAUUAAUUUAAUAAUAUAAUAUCAAUUAAAUAAUAAAUAUAAUAAGUAUCUAUUUAAUACACAAAUACAUAUGUUACAAAUGUACAUUUAUACAUUGUUACAUUUGUAUAUCAUCAUCACUAUCCACUUGUCAUGAAUUUAAUUUAUUUAUCAUAUAAAAAUCUUUUAAUAUAAUUAAUAAUCAUAAAAUAUCUUUAUACUUAAAUUAUGAGUUGUUAAAUAUGACUCCUACUUUCAGUCAAAUUUGAGAAAUAAUAUUUCAAUUAAACUCUGUUUACUUAUUUCAAUCAAAUAUUGAUUAGUUUAGAUUAUUUUACUAUUAUUUGACUUAUGAAUUUAGCCUAUAAAUAGGUUUUUUUAUAACCUUAGAAAAUAUAUACCCAUUAGAGAUUAGAACUCAUAACACAUUUAGAAAAUUUUGUGUUUACGUUUUGUAGGUUCUUUAUUUUUGGGUUUUCGGGGUUUAGUUUUUAUCUUCAUUUUUUGUACUCUUCGUUCUUUUGCCAUUAUAGUAAAAUUAUCUUUGCCCGUGGUUUUUUAUCCUCUUUGAAGGGGUUUUUCCAUGUUAAAUUUGUGUGUUCAAUUUCUCAAUUUAUUCCGCUAUUUUCUUGUUCGUUGCUUAAUCGGGUCGAAAUCCUAACAAGUGGUAUCAGAGCUAGUUCAUUUUCAUAGAUCAGCCCGUUCAGAGAUGGCAACAACAAGGUUUGAAAUUGAGAAGUUAGAUGGUGAAACAAAUUUCAAUCUGUGGUAAGUUCGGAUGAUGGCAAUUCUAGUUCAAUCCGGUUUGAAAAAGGUUCUUACUGGGAAAAAGCCUCAGAAUCUAAAUAAAACAGAAUGGGAAGAGCUUGAUGAAAAGGCUUUGUCUGCAAUCCAGUUGUGCCUCGCGAAUACGGUAUUGCAGGAGGUAUUGAUAGAGAAGACCUCAUCCGCCUUGUGGAAAAGGUUGAAACUCUUUAUACGACUAAGUUUCUGGCUAAUCGUUUAGUGUUGAAACAACGUCUAUUUACAUUUCGCAUGAACGAAUGUGAGCUUCUUAGAGAUCACAUCAGUCAAUUUAUUACUCUUUUAAAUGAUUUAAAGAAUGUUGAGGUUCAUAUUGACGAUGAAGAUCAGGCUAUGCUAUUAUUGUGCUAUUUACCCCCUUCAUACAAGUCUUUCAGGAAGACCCUGAUUUAUGGCAGAGACAAACUCUCGUUCAAAGAUGUGAAGGGUCAUUUUUUGAGUAGAGACAAACUCGACAAUGAGCUUCAUUUGGAUAGCAAGAUAGAUAGGCAAGCUUCCGUUUUGGUAGCAUCAAAGAAACGAGAUAAAAGGUGUCGCUAUUGUAAAAAGUUAGGUCACGUCAAAGUAGAUUGUUAUAAACUGCGAAAUAAAAAAAUAGCUGAGAGUAACGAGGAAGAUGUAGCUGGUGCUAAUUUGGCCGAUGAAAAUGGUGAUGAUUUCUUGUUAGUGUCAACAAGCGGUAACACCUAGCUCACGUCUGAGUGGGUCCUAGAUUCAGGAUGUUCUUUCCACAUGUGUCCCAAUAGAGAAUGGUUCUCCACAUACAGUUCGAUUGAAGGUGGAGUUGUGCGCAUGGGAAACGAUUCAUCUAGUAAGGGAAUUGGUAUUAGUACUGUUAAAAUUAAGAUGCACGAUGGGACGAUUAGGACACUCUCAGAUGUCAGGAAUGUACCUGAUUUACGAAAGAAUUUCAUCUCCUUAAGUAUUUUAGACUUGAAAGGAUGCAAAAUCAACAUCGAUUCGAGUGACAUUAAAGUAUCCCGUGGAGCUCUCAUUUUGUUAAAAGGUAAAAGAACCGGUAGUUUUUAUAUUCUGGAAGGUUAUACAGUGACCGGUGAAAUCGGACGUCCCUCGUCCGUUACGGAGUUGAAGUCAACUUGUUUGGAGCGGAGGCAACUUGGUCAUAGGAGGGAAAAAGGUAUGACUGUUUCGUUGAAGAGAGGUUCUCUUUUGGAUGCAGGUUUUGAAAAGUUAGGGCACUGUGUUCGUGAAAAUCAGACUCGGAUUAGUUUUGAUUUGGCAGUGUACAAGUCGAAGGCUAGAAGUCUUCCAAUUUCUAAGCACAAAUUUGACUCAAUUAAUUCCCUGCAUAGUUCAAGAUAGGCUCGUGGCAGGCUUUGGCAAAGAUGGCGUUGUGGAAAUAUGAGUCAAGGAGGAGAUUUGUUAAAUAUGACUCCUAUUUUCAGUCAAAUUUGAGAAAUAAUAUUUCAGUUAAACUCUGUUUACUUGUUUCAAUCAAAUACUGAUUAGUUUAGAUUAUUUUACUAUUAUUGGCUCUUUUACAACCUUAGAAAAUAUAUACCCAUUAGAGAUUAGAACUCAUAACACAUUUAGAGAAUUUUGUGUUUACGUUUUGUGGGUUCUUUAUUUUCGGGUUUUCGGGGUUUAGUUUUUAUCUCCAUCUUUUUUACUCUUCGUUCUUUUACCAUUAUAGUAAAAUUAUCUUUGCCCGUGGAUUUUUAUCCUCUUUGGAGGGGUUUUUCCACGUUAAAUUUGUGUGUUCAAUUUCUCGAUUUAUUCCGCUAUUUUUUUGUUCGUUGCUUAAUCGAGUCGAAAUCCUAACAUGAGUAAAUUAUGUAUUUAAAUUACAAUUAUACAAAUAUAAUUUUUACACAUGUAUAUUUUUAUUACCAUACAUUUAUAUUUAUCUAAUUUGUUUCAUAAUAUAUAAUAUAAUUAUAAUAUAAUCAAUACCUAAGAAAAAUCUCAGAUUUUUCAAUCUAAUUGCCGCCUCAAUUAUAUCAAAUGGAAUAUUUGCCAUUUUGGUCCUCCUUUCUUUUUAUUAAUCUAUAAUUCAACUUUUGCCCCUUAUUCAAUUUAGUCUUUUUUUCUAAUUACUCUUAAUUAAGUUAAAUUCACCUAAUUAAACCCUAAUUAGACACACUAUUAGACUUAUAGGUAUUUUUAAUAAUUAUUUACAGGUUCGGUUUAUUGAGACGGUGUAAUGACCCGAAUUUUACCGAUACUGAAAAAAUAUAAUUUCAGAUCUCUGUUUAUGAAAAAUGGAUUCGUAAAUAUUUAUUAAAAAUAUUUACGAAGUAAAAAUAAGUGGUUAAUUAGAGUUUAAUUAAGUUAAUUAAGAGUGAUUAGGAAAAAGGAUUAAGUUGAAUGAAGUGUAAAAGUUUAAUUAUAGAAUUAAAGAGGAUAAGGGGGACUAAAUAGGCAAUUAAGCCUAUUCUAAAGAAUGAGGCGGCAAAACAUAAAAAUCUUUAAUUUUUAUGUUGUUUAAAUUAUAAAUAUAUUAUUAAUGUUAUUAUUUUAUUACAAAUUAAAUUAAUUAUAUUAUUAUAUUUUGAAAUAAAUUAGAAAAGACAAAUGUAUGGUGCAUAUGGUGACAUGUGUAAUAUUAAUAUACAUACAAUUGUAAAAUACAUGUAUAUUUACUUAUCAUAUAAUUAUAUUAUUAAAUUAUAUAUUAGUAUUAAGUUAAAGAUAUUUAUAUAAUAAAUAGAUUAAAGAAAGACAAAUGUAAGGAUAUAAAUGGAUACAAAUGUUAAAUAAAUAUUGGUUAUUUAAUAGAUUUUUAUUGUUAUUAUAUAUAUAAAACAAAUGGAAUAAAGAAAAAAAAAGAAGAAAGAUGGAAAAGAAACACAAUGAAACGAAACAGAGAGCAAGGGAGAAAAAGAAAGAAAGAAUAGAAAGAAAGGGAGAAAAGGGAAAAUUCAAGGUUUGAAGCUUUAAGCUUUAAUAGGUAAGUCAAUCAAGCCCUUUUUACUUAAUUUUGAUAUUUUAGAAGUUUUAGAACGAAGUUUUGAUGAAGUUAAGUUGAUAUUUUGAAAAUUAUUAGAUUUCUAGAUAUUAUCCAUGUUAAAUAAAAUGAUGUAUUAAGGGCUAAAUUGAUAGAAAUUCAAGUUAGAAAUGAUAUAAGGAUUGAAUUGUAAAGUGAUUCAUAAGUUUUAUGCUUUAAGGACUAAAUUGAAAGAAUUUCGAAAUUAUGGUUUUAUGAUGAAAAAUAGAUAAUUAUGUCUAAGUUUGGUUAAAAAUUGAGUAGAAAUAAAGUAUAAAUUAAGAUAGAAAAGUAAGUGAAUUUAGUUAGGAUUAAAUUGAAAUUAAAAGUAGAAAAUCAACAUUUUGCAUUAAGACUAUUUUAGACAGCAGCAGUAGUCUAAGUUUGAAAAAUCACCAAAAAUUAUAUAAAUUGAAUUAUAGAAUUAAUAAAAUAUAUAAUUAAAUAUUAUUGAGCCUAGUUUCUUAUAGAAGAAACGUUAUAAGCAAUUGAAUUGUAAAUUAUGAGAUAUAAUGAAUUUUGUGAGACAAAGUCAGAAUGAAUUCGGGUUCCCCUAUUCUGACUUUGGAAAAUCACCAAAAAUUGGAUAAAAAUAAUUAGGGGCUUAAAUUUAUAUUUUUAGAAUCCUAAAUGAGUCUAUUUUCAAGAUAAAUAAAUGGGAACAUCAUUUGAAUUUUUUACUAGAAGAUAAUCAAUUUUUAGUGAAGAAGGGUCAGAAUUGUCAAACAGCAGAACAGGGGAAAAUUUAAAGAAUAAAAUGUACUUAUUGGCUAAACCAAAAAUUCUGAAAAUUUUAUGGUAAGAAGAUAUAUGAGUCUAAUUUUAGGGAAAAUUAUCAGAUCUUAAUUUGAAGUUACAUAGCUCCAGAUAUAAAUAAUUUAGUGACUAUAACACAGAUAGAUAGCUUUGAAUAUACAUAUAAGUCAAUAGUGAAAUUAUUGAUAACGUUACUUGUAAGCAUGAUAUAUACAUUAAGGAUGUGAAAUGGAGAGGAAGAGGAGGAAAAUAUAUAUGAAUAUUCAGUUAGCAUGGCUAAUUUGCAUGUUUUAAGCUCAUGGACUAAAUUGAAUAAAAGUAAAACUUUAGGGGGUAAUUUUGUAAAAAUGUCAAAAAUAACUAAAUUUAAUGGAAUGAAUUGUUUUAUUAUCUAAAUUAAUAAGUUGAAUGAAAUUAUCAAUUUAAGAUUGGGUGAAAUUUGGGAAAAUGGUAAAUUACCAAUAUGCCCCUAAAUCUUGGUAUUUCUGUAAUUUAGUCAGGUAGGUUCGUAUAUCCUGAAUCAGCAUGUAAAUAUGACAAUUUAAAUAUUGUAUCAUAUUUUAUAUGAUGUUUGAAUUGAAUAUAUGAAAAGGAUGUUACAUGAAACAUGAAAAUGAAUACUAAAUAAUAUGAAUUAAUUGAAAUUAUUCUGAAAAUCUCGGUAAUGCCUCGUAUCCUAUCCCGGUCUCAGGUACGGGUAUGGGGUAUUACAGACGGAGGCCCUAUAAUGUACUUUUUUUGAAGCCCGUGAAUUUUGGAUCAUUACAAAUAGUUGUCAAAUCAUUCGUUUUCUUCCAAGUGGCAAGUACGAGCAAUCUAUAUGUCCAGACCUAAUCAUAAAGAAAAUAUAAAAUUAAUUAAUGUCAAUCCCUAACAGCGCCAAAUUUUGACGGGUGUCAUCCACCAAAAAUAAAAUCUCUUCUCCUAAAAUUAAAAUCAAAUUUAAAUAUAGGGAGUAAGGUCAAUCCCAUAAAGACCGAUCUAAUUGAAUCUAGACUUUGUUAUAAUUAACUAGAAUGUGUCGUAGGCAGUUUUCAUGUCCACAACUCAUGCCAAUCUGUAUGAAAUAGAAAGGGGGAUUAAAUUGAAAUAUAAAUUAAAUAAUAAGAAAAUAAAUAUAGUACAAAGAUCUCACAUUUCUGUCUAUCAACAUUAGACCUCAAAGUUUUUAUCUCUUACAAUUAGAUCCUUAACAACUAGGCUUGUUCAUGGACUAGGCCACCCAACCUAGCCCGAAAAGUGGGAAGGUUUGGGCAAAAAUAUAGGCCCGAAAAAUGAGCUUCAACAAAAAAAUAAGGCUUAUUUAAAAAACAGGUUGGGCCUUAAGUAAAGCAUUUUUUGCCCGGGUUUGGCCCGACCUGAAUUCACAAAAAGACAAAAAAUUUCCAACUUUUGUUGUUUUAAUGCUAUUUUCUUAUUAUUUUCCUCCUAUUUUGCUACUAUUUCACUAUUAUGUUGCUACUAUUUGUUGUUGUUGUUUGGAUAUUGUAUAACACUUGUUUUAUUGUUAAUUUUGUUAUUAUUUUAUAGGCAUUUGCUUGUAAAGUUGCAUCUAUCUUAAUGUUAUUUAAGUAUAUACAUUUUUUUUAAAUUUUUUAGUAUUUUUGAUAUAUUAUAUAUAUUUAAAAAUUAUAUUAAAAAAUUAAUACGGGGUCAAACUCAAGUUUUAAUAUUUUUAUCCGAACUGAGCCUAGAUAAAAUUUUAGACUCAUUUUUCGGGUCAAGCCCAGGCGUAACAAACGGGCCUAAUUUUUUUUGGACCUGACCCAAACUCUGUCCGACCCUACCCAUGAGCACCUCUACUACCAACAUAUAUUUACUCAAACUUAUCCAAACUUGAAUUAAUAUACCAACAUAUAUUUACUCAAACUUAUCCAAACUUGAAUUAAUAUCUCUUUAACACAUUUUCCCCAUUUUCACAUUGUAGAUUUAACUAACAUUAAACAUCCUAACUCAAUUUUGAUAUAGGGGAGAGUAUUCGAUUGAAUCGAGUGAAAAAAUUUUGAGUUUAUAAGCCUUAUUUUAUCAUCCUAAUUUAAUUUAAUUUUUUUUCGAACUGAGUUGAAUAAAAUAAAAUUCAAAUUGAUUUAAAUUUUAAAAAUUAAACAUUUUAAAUAAAAUAUUAUUACAGUAUAACUAAUUCUAUAUUAAAACAUAUAAAUUUAAAAUUAACCGACAUAUUCCAAAGUUUAAAUAGCAACAACAACAUAAUAUUUUGACUCUUUUCAUUGUUCAAUAUUUAUUUCAAUUAACCGACCGACAUAACAUUAGUUACAUCGACAAUCACAAUAAAUAUAGUACGGUAGAAAACACAACAAUGAUUAUAGUUUAGAUUCACUAUUAUAGGAAUAACUAUUAAUCUUGGAGGUCUUCAUGUUUAAUUUUUUAUAUAAUAUAUCCCUUUGGACCCAGCCAAGCACCCAAAAAAGGAAGCAUUCCUUCCCUCGCUUGGAUUUAAUAGAUGAGUUUUACAUUAAUCUUACACAUUUGAAUAGCGAUAAUCAUUAUAUUGUAAAUUAAUAAAUGAAAAAAAUGAAGAGAUAUUAAUCUAUAUAAACAAUAUUGGUCAGUAAAAAUAUGAUUACUUAAAUUUUACUUUGAAUUUAAAUUUGUAAUAUUUCAAAUAAUAGGUUGAAUGCAUUAUAAUGUUGUAUUAAUUUUAUAUAUUUAUACAAAUUUUAUUUAACAAAUUGAAUUUUAAUUUUAUAAUAUAAUUUUUUUAUUAUUCACAUUAAGUUUUCAAUUAAUUUGAUAUAUAUGUUAUUUGAGAAUACAGUUUUAUAUAUUUUUAAUGGUUGAAUUUUUUUAUAUUAAACACAAAAAUAUACUUUUUAACAUAUUCCAAUUUUGAUGUAAUUUUACAUAUAACAUGAAAUUAAACAAAUAUAAGAUCUUAUAAAAAAAAAGACUAAGGAAAUAUUUAAACUUAGAUUGAUUGUGUACUUAGCCAGGUCUAGCUGGACAGGUCUACUUGUAAGAUUGGAAUAGCCAAUGAUUCCAACUUGUCAUAUCAAAGUACAAAGACAUUUUUGUCUUUGCUCAAUAAUGCUCUAUUCAAUUAUAAUUUUACAAAUAUACAUGGGAGUUGAAUUUUUGGUAUUCCAAUAGAAUUCCCAGAAGCCAAUAAGGGACCAUAAAAUGAAAAGGAAAUAAAAAAUAGAGUAAGGUUUAUUUAAGGUUAAAGGUCAGGGACCAUUCAUGAAUUUGAUUCCUCAAAAAUCAUUUAUAAAUCAUAGCCUCACCUCCGGGGUCUGCACUUCAAGAACUUCAUGGGUAAAACUAUUAGUAGCUGCCUUUUACCAGCUUUAAUAUCUUGUUUUUACUUGCAGCUGCAGUUUGGCACUGCUUCAGACACUAUAAGAACAUCAGAAUCCAUCAAAGACCCUGAAUUUAUAAUCUCACAGGGUGGAGUUUUCCGAUUGGGAUUCUUCAGCUUUGCUAAUUCCACCAAUCGUUAUGUAGGUAUAUUGUACAACCAAAUCCCCGUACAAACAGUUGUGUGGGUGGCAAAUAGAAACAGGCCUCUCAAAGUCUCUUCUGGGAUUCUCACCAUAUCAGAUGAUGGCAACCUUGUUGUUUUGAAUGGAAAAGCUGAGAUUCUUUGGUCAACAAAUGUUACGAAUCUGAUUCCUAAUGCAACAACUGCACAGCUUUUAGACUCUGGAAAUCUUGUCCUCAAUAACGGCGACAAUGGAGGAAGCAGCAGCUUAUGGGAGAGUUUUCAACACCCUUCUAAUGCAUUCCUUCAAACUAUGAAGUUGGGCGUUGAUUUAAAAACGGGUCGUAAGGUGCGUACGAGAUCAUGGAAAGGCCCUGAUGAUCCAUCUGAUGGUAACUUUUCUCUAGGCCUUGAACCUUUCAACAUCCCAGAGGGUGUCAUUCGGAACAAUAACCAGAUAUAUUUUCGGACUGGCCCAUGGAAUGGCCAUAUCUAUAUUGGUUUAAAAGAUAUGAAUACCGUUUAUCUUGAUGGGUUUUAUGUGGUUGCAGAUGAUGAAGGAAAAAAUUAUUAUGAAACUUACGAAUAUUCUAAUAAGUCUAUGUUGAUAUACUAUGAAUUAGAUUAUGAAGGAAGAUUCGUUGGACGAAACUGGGAUGCGGGGACAGGGGACUGGAUAAAUAGUUACCUAAUUCUUCAAACAGAUUGUGAUUUUUAUGGAAAGUGUGGGGCAUUCGGAAUCUGUGAUCGAACGAAACGACCCAUUUGCAGUUGCUCAAAGGGAUUUAAGCCUAGGAAUGCAGAGGAAUGGAUUAGAGGUAAUUGGAGUAGUGGGUGUUUUAGGACUACCCCUUUGCAGUGCCAAAGAGAUAACAACAAUGGCAGUGGAGGAGCAGGGCAAAGUGAUGAUGGGUUUUUGAAGCUCAAGACGAUGAAAGUACCGGCUUUUCCAGACCAGUCAUCAAUAAUUAAAGGCGAAUGCAAAGAUCAAUGCAUGAAGAAUUGUUCGUGCGUGGCUUAUGCGUAUGAUGCUGGUAUUGGUUGCAUGUUAUGGAGUGGAGAUUUGAUUGAUGUCCAGAAAUUCCCCACUCGCGGAGUCGAUCUUUACAUUCGUCUGUCAUCUUCGGAACUUGGUAACCUUGUCUUCAUGUUGACCAUGUUUGAUAAAUUGCGUCAAUUACCCAAGUAUUAUUAACCAAGUGUCUAAAAUUGCAGAUAAAGGCAAAAGUACUAAGGUCAUUGCAAUUACAACAGUAAUUGCGGGCAUAGUGGUUAUUACAAUUUCUGCACUCUUCCUAUGGUGUGGGAUGGCUAAACAAAGAGGUAAAUUGUCGUCUCUAUUUAUUUAAUUUAUGUAGUCACUUUUUUUUAAAUGAAAUAUGCAAUCACUUUAAGAGGACAAUAUCUGAUAAAUUUGUAACAACACCUAAAAUCAAUAAAUAAAAGGGUAAUAUGUUUCAAAGAAUCUAUAUCUUUUUACAUUAACAACAAUAUAUUAUUAUUGUUACAACAAUAGUUGUGUGCGUAGCGAUAACUACAAUUAUGUAGCCUUCAACUCAUUGCUUCUUUGAUUUCUAUAUCAGGAAGGAAUAAAAGACACAAACAGAUCAAACACAAAUCUUAUAGUGAAAAUGUUGGAGGAAGUUCAAUCGGUGUUAAACUCAAGCAGCUUCCACUAUUCAAUUUCGAACAACUUGCCACCGCGACCAACAACUUCCAUCCUGCAAAAAAGCUAGGGCAGGGUGGUUUUGGUCCAGUUUACAAGGUAAUAAAUAAUAGCUAUUUCCGGUGAAUCCAGAGUCAAUGAAAUGACAUUUUUUUCUCAAUCAAGUAUUGUGAUCUGAAUUGUGAGUGCAGGGAACAUUAGAUGAUGGAAAAGAAAUAGCAGUGAAGAGAUUGUCGAAAGCUUCGGGGCAAGGAUUGGAAGAAUUUAUGAACGAAGUGGUGGUUAUUUCAAAGCUCCAACAUCGAAAUCUGGUUAGAUUAUUUGGGUGUUGUGUUGAAGCAGAAGAGAAGAUGCUCGUCUAUGAGUUCCUGCCCAAUAAAAGUUUGGACGCUUUUUUAUUUGGUUAGUAAUUUAUUCAAACUCCUAAGUGUUCAUAUUUAACUCCAAUUAAAUUUAAAAUCAAAGUCGAAUCCUUAAAAAAAUGGCCAUUCACAAAAUUUAAAUUAAAAACUUUGUUUAAGAGGCAUUUAAAUUCUUACCUUUCAAUUCACUAGUCAUGGGAUAUAAUUUUGACUUUUAAGUGGCCAAAUCCAACUUAAAUCUAAUUAUAUAUUAUAUUUUUUGCUAAAAAUAAAUGUUAGUGUCUUACAAUAUAUGAAUUGCAUAACCUAGCUAAGCUAGGUACAAUAUAUAUGUAUACAUAUAUAAUAUGUUUUAUAUAUAUAUAUAUAAGUAAAAAAAAUGUUUGCAUCACCAUUAUUUAUUUUUCUAACUUAUUUUGCUUUUUUUAUAAAUAUUUCUAAUUUUUUUAUUUUUAUUCUGAAAAAAACGAAAUUUCAAAAAGAAAAUAGAUCGAAUAACAUUCAAGGUUAUUAAGUAAAAUUACUAUAUAUAUUCAAUUUUGUGCUGUCUAUAUUUUUUUUUCUGAAUUUUCACUUUUUUCUUUGAAUUUUCUCUCUCUCUCUUUUUUUUUUAUCUAUUUUAUAAGGAAAAUUAUAUAUUUUUUAAUAGGAGUUGGUCUAUACUCUAGGAUUUAAAUAGUGGUGGCAGCAGUUUCAAGCAAAAAAAAAAAAAUAGUGGUGGCAGCAGUAAGUUUUGACUCUUUCCGCAUUUUAAUGUUUAUUUGAAUUGACUGACAUAACUUCAAUUAUACUACAAUCAUAAUGAAUACAAUAUGAUAGAAAUAAAAUGCUGGUUUUAGUUUAGAUCCUCAAUUAUAGGAAUUAAUUAUUAAUUCUGGUGGUAAAUUUUGUUACAGAUCCUGUUAAACAAAGACUUUUAGAUUGGAGAAAACGCUUCAACAUUAUUGAAGGAAUCAGUCGAGGAUUGCUUUAUCUUCAUAGAGAUUCAAGAUUGAGGAUUAUACAUAGAGAUUUAAAAGCAAGUAAUGUUUUACUUGACCAAGAUUUAAAUCCAAAAAUUUCAGAUUUUGGGAUGGCUAGAAUCUUUGAAGGUGAUGAAAAUCAAGCCAAUACUAAAAGAGUUGUUGGAACUUAGUAAGUUGGAACUUUCGCCCUACCAUUUAUUUUUAUUCAUUUUUUGAUAAAAUAUGAUAUAAAUGUCUAUGGUCAGGUUCCGUGCUUAAAGAAAAUACAUAUCCAUACCCGAAUCAAGUUUAAUUUUUUUCAAUUUGUGGACUCAAUUUAUUGUUUUUAAUUUUAAAUGAUUUAUUAUUUAUUCUUAAUUUGAGUUGGCUCGAGGACAAGUUUAAAUUAGAGUUAUAAUUGGUGUUGUUUUUUAUUUUAAAAUACAGUGGUUAUAUGUCUCCUGAGUAUGCAAUGCUAGGGCAAUUUUCAGAAAAAUCAGAUGUGUUCAGCUAUGGAGUUCUACUACUAGAGAUUGUUAGUGGAAGAAGAAACACAAGCUUUUACAACAAUAAGGAUGACCUUAGCCUCUUGGGAUAUGUAAGUUCAUAAUAUAGUUAGAGAUGUUGGUGGAUGGAAUUAAGGUGUAAGAUGUUGUAUUUGCGAGGUAAUCGGGUUCGAUUUCAGAAAACUUAAAUUUGCCUUAGCAAUUAUUGAGUCGAGCAAUCAUGUGAGUUGAAUUUGAGAAUCUUAAUACUUGAAUCGAGUAGCUCGCAAGCUAACUUCAAAAACCCUAAUACUUGAAACAAGUAGCUUGCAAGACUUUUCAAUCUUAAUCAAUAUUGAAAAUUUUCAGUUCAAACUCGAACUUGAUUAUAAAUAAUCAAGUUUGAAGUUAAGCAUAAGAGUGAAGCUCAUUGUAGGCUUAAGUAAAACAAGCCUAAGAGAGUUGGAACAUUUCAAUCUUUAUCUUGAAUAGAGCUGAUCAAACUCUUUUAAAGGUUUAACAUUAAAAUUUUGAUUCAAGCUAAGCCAAAUAAUUUUGGCAUUAAUUAUGUCAAAAGUUGUUUUUUGUUUUCAGGCAUGGAAAUUAUGGAGGGAAGGUAAUAUUUGGGGCUUAGUAGACAAAGUGAUUGCAGAGUCGAAAUCAGAUUCAAAUAAUGAAAAAGAAAUAUGGAGAUGCAUACAUGUUGGAUUGCUAUGCGUUCAAGAAUAUACUAAAGAUAGGCCCACUAUAUCUACUAUUAUUUCAAUGCUUAAUAGUGAGAUUUCAGAUCUUAACACUCCAAAGCAACCUGCUUUCACUCAAGCACCACUAAUAAGCCAUGAUGUUGAAGAUAAAGGUUCAUUUAAUGAUGUAACUCUUACAAACCUUGAUGGUCGAUAAAAAUGUAAAUUAAUUAUUUGUAUUGUUUACAAUUUAAGUUCAAGCAUUGAAAUUUAUUUUUAUAUUUUGUUUUGAUAUGUUUUUGUCAUUUUAUUUACUCCAUUAUAAAGUGAAUAAAUCUAAUUUCAAAUUCAACCUAGCUCGAGUUGAACAUAAAAAUUAACAAGUAGAACUCGUUUACCUCGAACUCAAAAAUCAUUUAAAACUCAAUAACUUGAAGUGAUUCAAAUUAAAAAAUUCUCAAAUUUUUAGUUUAUUUGUUCGAAUUUAGACUAAAUUUAUCAUCAUAUUUGUUAAUUGUGUCCCAAAUUCUAAAUUUUAACCAGAUAUGAUGUAAACACAAUAAUUCAAACUAGGUUAACUUAAACUCAAAUAUAAUCUAAACUCAAAAUGAUGCAAACUUAAAAAUGAUUCAAAAUCAAAAUAUUCAAGAUAACUUGACUUUAACUUAAAACUAAUCCUAAACCCUGUAUUUAUUUCUGGACUUGAAAUACAUCCGACGUCCGAACAAGACAUCUUAUUCCAAAUUGUGUUGAACGUUGUUUGAUCUUAUUCUUUGCAUUGUUGAAAUAAGUAAAAGAAGAUUGUGACAUUGUGUUGUCAAAUCAACCAAACGUGCCCAAGUAGCCAAAGACUUCCAAAUGUAGUCUAAUUUUUAUGAACGUUUCAUACAAGCUGUAUUGCAUUUCGAGUCUCACAGUUCAUGCAUUUUCUAUCAAUUGGAACAAAAUUUUUUAUUUUUAAAAAGUAAGAUAAUCAAAUUCUAAUAAAUUAUAGUAAAAAAAGGGGCUAAUUUUCAAUUUUCUAUAAAGUAAAAAUAUAGAAAUUAUUAGUUUAACAGUUAACACCUCCUUUUAUCUCCCUAGAAAUUUUCCAAACAAAUCAUUUGCUGAAGCUGAGUGCAGCAUUAACAGCCAAUACAACUAGUGAAUUAAUGUUCAAAAAUUAAUUUGCCUCAAUCUCUGACUUUCCAUUAACAACAUUUAGUCCCACAUAAUUAAAGUGAGUUUACUUUUUCAACAAAUCAUCCAUAUGCAUGCACCUUCGUAGAAAAAAAAAAACCCUCAUGAUUAACUAUCUCGUGGAUUAAAUUCUAUUAUUAAAGCACACAAAAUCUUUCACUCCAAUAAUUUACAAGCUAAAUUUAAAUGUUUGAAUGUCUUUAUUGGUUUUAUAACGUGAAACUAAUCAUGUUGAAAUUGGAGUGGUAUUAGUGUUGUUUCAUGUGUGAACACGGGAAGACACUCGUUUACCUUUUUUAAACUUCAACGCAAGAGCAAGUCGAUAAAAUUAAAAGGGUGAAUAGCGCUUGAAGAAAAUUGAAAUCUUAACAAAACAUUUGCAGUUGCCUUGAAACAUCAUUACAUCAUAUUCCAAAUAUCAUUCGUAAAUCAUAGCCUCAAUUCCACGUUCUGGUAAGAGAUGGAGAGCGUUAUUAGCGACUCUGUGUUACUAGCUUUUGAAAUUUUACUAUUGUCUUGUUUUUACUUACAAUUUGGCACUGCUUUAGACACCGUAACACCAUCAGAAUCCAUCAAAGACCCUGAAUUUUUAAUCUCCCAGGGUGGAGUUUUCCGAUUGGGAUUCUUCAGCUUUGCUAAUUCCACCAAUCGUUAUGUAGGGAUAUUGUACAAUCAAAUCCCCGUACAAACAGUGGUAUGGGUAGCAAACAGAAACAAGCCUCCCAAAGACUCUUCCGGGAUUCUUAACAUAUCAGAUGAUGGUAACCUUGUUGUUUUGAAUGGAAAAGCUGAGAUUCUUUGGUCAUCAAAUAUUACGAAUUUGGUUCCUAAUGCAACAACUGCCCAUCUUUUAGACUCUGGAAACCUUGUCCUUAGUAAUGGUGAGGAUGGAGCAAGCAGC
rnacentral:lncRNA from 1 species